GUUCCCAUUACUUUUCUGGCGCGAAAGGCGAAACGGGAAUUAUGACACCCACAUACGCGACCACGAAUAUGUGGCGUCCAAGGAGGCCGAACGGCACACAAACGUCAAUAGUAGAAGUGUCGCCAGUCUAAGAAAAGCAACAACAACGGCUUUCAGGCCAUGAGAAAGGCUGCGGCAAUGAGUUUUGACAAAAUUUAUGUUUUUUUGCAAUAUUUUUGAUUUUUUUCCAUUUAUAUUUCUAUUUGAAUUAGAGAGAAGAAGUUUUUAUCGGUUUAUCGAAUGCUGAUACAUAGUAUAAAAUCUUGGGACGAAAGAGAGUCUGGUACACUCUUUUCGCUACUUUCUAUCCAAUUAGUUUAUGUCUUUUCUAAUUUAGAAAAGAGAGCAUAGCCCUUUUUUAUUUAGUUUGAUAUCGUUAAUAUCUGUUACAUAUUUGACGUCUGUGUAAAUAAUAGAUUUCCUGCGCUCGGAACUAUUGUGUGGAUAUUUUUGCCUAAGUCUAAAUUUAUGCCAAGUCUGAAUUUCUAUGAUCAAACCAUUAACCAACUCAGAUUCUUGACGUACUGUUCAUCGUAAUGCUGUUGUCAGUGUCCUUUUUCUUCAGUAAGUUCAGUUGAAUAAGCGGGUUUGCAUCUCGAGUUUGUUCGCGUCUUGCGUGAGUCGCUAACUGUUAGUUAACUGAUUAUUGUCUGUGUGCGGCCUUUGACUGCUUCGUGUGAUGGCACAAAUCAAACGUAGAUGGCGGCAUGACCUGGACACCAGAUCGAUGCUGUGGGAUGGCACGGCCGUAAGACUCGAUCUGUCCCGUAUUUUCGUUUUCAGUUAGCUCGUGCAGGCCAAGUUUACAGUGUCUGUAUAAGAGACACUCUACUUGUGUCUGUGGGAUUGUUCAUCCAAUUCUCGUGUCUAAGUGUGUCUACCAUAGCGUGAGUUUUCAGGUUUGGCAAAUACAAUUCUUGCUGCAAGACAUGCAUCAUGCUAGAUACCAAUAGCUAAUUAGGAACUUCAUACAUACCUGAAGGUGGCUCUUAGAUGGUAAAGAGUUAAUCCAGGAAUUCCCAUUGUUUUCGGCAUAGCUUCUGCGAUUGUUUCGAGUAAUGUAUGUUAUGAACGCCACAAGUAAGAACGAAGAAUGAAGAAGAUAUCACAGCACAAGAACACACGGAUUUAACGUGGAAAACCCUCUCAAACAACGAGGGGGAAAAACCACGGGCGCCAGCCAACGAAAUCUCACUAUAUGGAGAGUGUUUACAACGCCAGGAAGAUUCUACAGAUGCAACUCGUGAGAACUCAACCCAAAAUGGCAACAUACAAGGGGUAUAUAUAGCAGGAACAUUAGGGCAAGUCGGAUCCGUAACGGGCACACCGGAAGUUCCGCAUAUUCUUGAAUAUCCAGAAGUUCCGCAGCAAGUUCCGCAAGUUCCCGAAAAGUAACAGAGAGCAACCGGAGGUUCGGCCGGAAGUUGGGCCAGAAUUUGGGCCGGAAGUUUCGGCACCUGGAAUGGCCGGAAGUUGGGCCGGAACUUUCAGCGCCUGGAAUGGCCGGAAGUUUGGCCGGAACUUCCGGUUCUUGUGAAUUUGGAUCACAUUCCAACAAACUCCACCUUGAGAUAAAUUUUUCCUUAUAGCAAAUUACUCCUUGUAGCAUGAGCAACAACAACUCCUGAAACAACAAAGAAAACACUUUCGGCGCCAACAACCACUAGGGGCUAAACAGUUAUACCAACUAAGCUUGAGCAUAGCUCAAACUUAGCAAUAGGAACAGGCUUUGUCAUCAUAUCAGCAGGAUUAUCAUGAGUGCUGAUCUUGCAUACCUUCAAUUUACCUUGUGCAACAACGUCGCGAACAAAAUGGUACUUGACAUCAAUGUGCUUGGUUCUCUCAUGGAGCAUCUGAUCCUUAGUAAAGUAAAUAGCACUUUGACUGUCACAAAACAGGUUAAUGCAAGAAACAUCUUGACAAAGCUCAGCCAAACAGAUUCUUUGCAAGUUUCAGCAAUAGCCAUAUAUUAUACUUCGGUUGUAGAUUGAGCAACAACUGGUUGCAGUGUUGCCUUCCAACUCACAUCACAUCCAUCUACCGUGAACACAUAACCUGUGAGGGAUCUCCUCUUAUCCAAGUCGGCAGCAAAAUCUGAAUUCACAUAGCCAGCAAGUCCCUCAUCAGUCUUGCCAAACUUCAAGCAAGCAUUGAAUGUGCCACGGAGGUACCUGAAAAUCCACUGAAUAGCUUUCCAAUAUUCUUUACCGGGAUUAGCCAUGUAACGACUGACCAAACUCAUAGCAUAUGAUACAUCAGGACGUCAACAAACCAUGGCAUACAUCAAGAAACCAACAGCACUAGAAUAAAGAACUCGUGACAUAUACUCAAUAUCUUCAUCAGAAUUAGGACAUUGCAACGCUGACAACUUGAAAUGAGAAGCAAUAGGAGUACUAACACACUUUGCAUCAUGCAUAUUAAAACGGUGAAGUACUUUCUCAAUGUAACUUUGUUGACUAAAAAAUAGCAACCUAGAUUUUCUGUCCCUUUUAACUUUCAUACCUAGGAUUUUCUUAGCAGCACCAAGAUCCUUCAUCUCAAAUUCACUACUUAGUUGUGACUUCAAAGUAGUGAUUACUUUCAUGCACUUGGCAGAAAUUCACAUAUCAUCAACAUAUAACAGCAAGUAUAUAGGUGAUCCAUCAACAAAUUUAAUGUAGACACAACUGUCGUACUGAGAUCUACUAAAGCCACAUGAGAUCAUAAAUGAAUCAAAUCUUUUAUACCACUGUUUAGGAGAUUGCUUCAAACCAUAAAGGGACUUCUUCAACUUACACACAAACUCCUCUUACCAAGAACUAUGAACCCUUCAGGUUGGUCCAUGUAUAUUUCCUCCUCAAGCUCUCCAUGCAAAAAUGCAGUCUUCACAUCUAACUGCUCAAACUCAACAUCAUGCAUAGCAGCAAUACCAAAGAAAGUACGGAUGGAACUAUGCUUUACCACUGGAGAGAACACAUCAUUGUAAUCAAUACCUGGUAUUCGACUGAAACCUUUUGCCACUAACCUUGCCUUAAACCUCAUAAGCUCAUUAGGAGACAAACCCUCCUUUCUCUUGAAAAUCCACUUGCAGCGAACGGCCUUCUUUUGUUUAGGCAAGGGCACAACAUCCCAUGUGCCAUUCUUCUCAAGAGAUUGCAUCUCCUCUUUCAUGACGGACAACCACUUCACACGGUCACCAGAAACAACAGCUUCAUUAUAUGAGGCCGGUUCACUAUCAUGCUCCACCUGUUCUGCACAACUCAAAGCAUAAUAAACAAGAUUACACUCUUUAAUUAAACGUGGGCGAGGACAUUUAUUUCUCUUCGGACGGUCAGCUGCAAUAGACCGUGUGGGUUGCUGCAAAACAGGUGGUGAGGUGGAACAAUAUUAUCAUUAUUAUCAUCAUUACCAUGAUCAACCUGAGUAUCAUCGUUGUCAACAAUUUCAUCAACGUGCUCCACCUGCACUUUUAGUCUCUCCUCUUCAAUGCGAGAGGCAUCAGUGGACAAAGUAUCAUGGUACAUAACUUUUUCAUUAAAGACAACAUUCAUGCUCAGCAAAAGAAAUUUAGUUUCAGGAUUCCACAACCUGAAAGCUUUAACUCUAGAACCAUAGCCAAGAAAAAUGCACUUAACAAGUCUAAGCUCUAGCUUUCCAUUAUCAACGUGAGCAUAAGCGGUGCAACCGAAAACUCUCAACUGUGAAUAAUCAGCAGGUUUACCAGACCAUACCUCAAUGGGAGUUUUCUUGUCAGGUGGAAUAGAAGGUGACCUCUUUAUGAUGUAGCAUGCGGUGGAAGCUGCCUCAGCUCAAAAACGCCUGCCCAAACCUGCAUUGGACAGCAUGCAACGGGUCCUCGAUAUGAUGAUUCUGUUCAUGCGCUCAGCCACGCCAUUUUGCUAUGGAGUACGGACAACCGUGUAGUGCCUAACCACGCCAUCAUUGCUGCAAAACUCCUCAAACUCAUCAGAAAUAAAUUCACCACCAUUAUCAGUACGCAAAAUUUUCACCUUCAUUUUAAUUUGCUUUUCUACCAUAGCUUUCCACUUCUUGAAUGCACCAAAAACAUCAAAUUUAUGUUUCAGAAAAUAAGGCCAAACUUUUCUUGAGUAAUCAUCAAUAAUGGUAAGCAUGUAAUUAGCACCACCAAUAUAAGUCUUACGGGAGGUCCUCAAACAUCAGCAUGCACAUAAUCUAAUAUGACUUUGGUGGUAUGAACGGAAGAAAUGAACUUAACUCUUUUGUGCUUACCAUAAACGCAGUGCUCAUAAAACUCAACCUUACUCAAGUUGCAGCCAUUGAUCAGCUCUCUCUUGACCAACUCUGCCAUCCCAUGUUCACUCAUAUGCCCAAGACGCAUAUGCCACAGGUUCAUUUUUGCACAAUCAUCUGAAUCAUUAGGUGUAACGGCGGCAGCAAAACCAGGCAAAGUGCUACCUCUAAGAACAUAUAAUUUGGCAGAAUUCAUAUCACCUAUCAUGUGAAUGAGAGAACCUCUUAGCCUUCAAAAAUCUACGCCCUCCGGCGUACUUGUACCCGUCACAAUCCAUGGUACUAAGUGAGAUCAAAUUUCUUGCCAUGCUUGGUAUGUGCUUCACCUCUUUCAACGUGCGUGUCAUGCCAUCAUGGGUCUUGAUCUAAACGGACCCAACACCAACAAUAUGACAAGGAUUGUCAUUGCCCACACGAACAAAAUCUCCAGUCUGCACAGACUCAUAAGAACUGAACCUAUCCUUGUUACAACAAAUAUGAAAGGUAGAUGUUGUAUCAAGAAUCCAUUCAUCAUCACGGGAAGCACAAGCAGCAAGAACAGCGAGGCAUUAAUCCUCAGAGCUGUCGGUAGAAACGACAGUGGCCUUACCAUUACCAUCAGACUUGUCUUUCGGUUUGUAGGUACCGUUCAUUUUCUCCUUGUUCUGCAGUUUAUAACAAUUCUCAAUAACAAGAUUAUUUUUCUUAUAAUACCUGCAGAAGUUAUCUUUUCCUCGGGACUUUGAACGAGCUUUUCCGUCCCAGCUCUUAUCUCAGUUGCCAUAGUUGUUGUUCCUCUGCUCGAUCUUGCCACGAACCUGCAGAGCUUCUGCCUUUGACGACGACCCAUCGGUCUGCACCAUAGACUCCAUCUUUUCUUUCUGUCUAAGUGCUUCUAAAACCUCAUUAAGGGUUAGAGAGUCAUGGCUUGUCGUCGCACGGGGCUCCGACACCGGGGGCGUGCUGGCACACCCCCUUUUAGGUUCGGCAGGGGCGUCAGGGAUCGCUCCGGCGAUCGCCGGCGUGGCCGAUGGCGUACGUAACCUGCAAAGUAAUGUACCCAGGAUGCAUGCAAGCUAAGAACACAUGCACACACGUUUUUACCCAGGUUCGGGCCACCUGGAGGUGUAAAACCCUACGUCCUGCUUGUCUGAACUGGUAUUGACAGUAAAUCAAAGGUUUACACGUUGCCGGGGGGAGAGUCCCUGGGUGUCGCACCAGUGGCACCCGGGGUACCACCGCUGUGCGACGAGUGGGCCCCGUUCCCGAGUUCCCGGGAAGGUUUCAUCCCGGGCAGCGUCUAUGAGCAGCCCAGCAAGCUACCAGCCCGGAAGGGGCUAGCGGGGCUUCGGGGAAUAUUCCCGCCUGGGCACCUCCCGGGAAGCUGCUUCCCGGGGGAGGUUCCCGGGUGCGUGGGGCCCGGGUGCUUCCCGGGGGUCGACUUGCCGGGACAGGGGGUUCCCGGGCGCAUGCCCCCGCCUCAAGCGUGAGGCCCAGUAGCCAGAUCAACAGCGCCAUGCGGGCGCGUGGCGGGCGUGGGAUGCGCGGUCCCACCAGGGCAAGGAGUAAGGCGCACGGCUCAUUAAAUGAGCCGACCGACGGGGCGUUACCCGUCCGAUCAAGGGAACAGUGGUUGUCCAAUCCUACUCUAGGGUUCUAGACCCCUAGUGGCGGAGGUGGCAUCCAUGCACGCCACCAGCUCACCGGGGAGAGUUGUAUGCCUCCCCGCUCGACACUUGUAGCUCAUGCACCGUGGCACCUAUGGCAUCCCCUUGAGUAUAAAAGGAGGACCCUCGCCAACGGUCAGGGGGUUCGGAGGAAGUUCGGGUACUCUCAAUUAACUCCAGUAGACAGUAGGGUUCGGUUCGAUCAGCCCACAGUUAGCCUCUAGCAUUAGCAGAGGGUAGUGAGGAGCAUCUAGCCAGAGAGAGAGGGAGCCCAGAAACUCACCCGGCUACUUGUAAACACUUGAUUCUAAACCAAUACCAGCUCAGACAAGCAGGACGUAGGGUUUUACACCUCCGGGUGGCCCGAACCUGGGUAAAAACGUGUGUGUGUCUGUUCUUUGAUUAGCGCGCACUUUCGGUACUUCAUCUCGCUGGCCCCGCAGGGCCUCAUCGGCUGUGCCGGCGAUCGCCGGAGCAAACCCCGACGCCCCUACCAAACCUAAAAGGGGGCCGUGACCGCACGCCCCUGGUGUCGAAGCACCGUGCGACGACACCGGGCGUUCUCUCUUUUUAGCUAAGUGCUCUUGACUGCUUUAGGGUACUGCUAAUGGCUAACUGUGAGUCCGGCGAACCUAGUGUUCGUGGAGCCGUGAACUGUCGAACCCUUUGACCGCUGGCUAGGGUCCUCGUUUUAUAACCAAGGGGAUACCACAGGUGCCGCGGUGCAUGCAUUACAAGUGUCGAUCAGGGAGACAUGGCAACUCCCCCUCGGUGAGCUAGUGGCAUGCAUGGGUACCAACUCCGCUGCUAGGGGUCUAAAACCCUAAAGGUAGGAUUGGACAGCCACUGUUCACCUGAUUUGGACGGGUAACGCCCCUCUUGUCGGCUCAUUUAAUGCGCCGUGCGCUUCACUCCUUGCCCUGCCGAGACUGCGCACUCGACGCCCGGCACGCGCCCACGUGGCGCUGUUGCUCUGCCCGCUGGGCCCCCUCCCUUGCGGAGGGAGCCUGCGCCCGGGAACCCCUCCUCCCGGCAAGUGGCUUCCCGGGAGGCACCCAGGCCCGACACGCCCGGCAACACCCUCCCGGCAAGUGGCUUCCCGGGAGGCGUCUAGGCGGGGAUAUUCCCCGAAGCCCCGCUAGCCCUUCCAGGCUGGUAGCUUGCCGGGCUGCUUGUGGCUGCUGCCCGGGAUGAGACCCUCCCGGGAACUCGAAGACGGAGCCCACGUGUCGUGCAACGGUGGUACCCCGGGUGCCACUGGUGCGACAAUGCUAUAAAGAAUUGAAUCGCGGAAAUUUGUAUAGGAACUAGGCAACGAGCAUAAGAGUAAGAUGGCUAGAUCCUCAUCAUCAUACUUAACCUCCAAAGCUUGCAAGUUAGAAACUAUCUCUUGAAAAACAGUUAUAUGAGAUACUACCGAUCCACCUUCUUGCAGCUUAUGGGUGAACAACUUCAUCUUUACAUGCAUCUUACUGGUUAGAUCUUUAGACAUGCAGAUCGAUUCCAGUUUCAGCCACAGGGUUGCUGCGGAUUUCUCCUCCAACACUUCCUGCAAAAUAUUAUUGGAUAGAUGAAGUUGAGUCAAUGACAAAGCCUUACGAUCUUUGCGUUUCUCUUCGGCAGUCCACUCCUUUUCAUCCUUCUUGCCGAAGGAAUCAAGCGCUUCAUCCAGAUCUGAAGUUUGGGCGAGAAUCGCUCGCAUCUUCACUUGCCACAACGAGAAUCGUGUGGUGUAGUCCAGCUGCGGCAGAUCGAACUUCAAGGUAGACAUGUCGCAAACCCUAGGCGGAACCUGGGGCUCUGAUACCACUUGUUAUGAACGCGACAAGCAAGAACGAAGAAGAAAUCACAGCACAAGGACACACGGAUUUAACGUGGAAAACCCUCUCAAACAACGAGGGGGGAAAACCACGGGCGCCAGCCAGUGAAAUCUCACUAUAUGGGGAGUGUUUACAACGCCAGGGAGGUUCUACAGAUGCAACUCGUGAGAACUCUACCCAAAAUGGCGGCAUACAAGGGGUAUAUAUAGCAGGAACAUUAGGGCAAGUCAGAUCCGUAACAGGCACACCGGAAGUUCCAGUUGGAGGCCGGAAGUUCCGCAUAUUCUUGAAUAUCCGUAAGUUCUGCAGCAAGUUCCGCAAUUUUCCGAAAAGUAACAGAGAGCAACCGGAAGUUGGGCCGGAACUUCCGGCGCCUGGAAUGGCCGGAAGUUCGGCCAGAACUUCUGGUUCCUGUGAAUUUGGAUCACAUUCCAACAAUGUAGCCAUCAGAAGGUAAUCUACCACUGCAAUUCUGCUAUGCAUAACAGUCAAUUUUUUUUUAAUCAUAUACUUACUGUCAGGCCGUCCUAGCUGGUUUACUGCAUCUUCUGAUGCAGCUCAGAAGUCCAUUUUAGCCGAGGCUUUGCAUCGGUUGAUAGGAUGAGCCGUGAAUCUCCUCCUCCUUGGCCAUCCCGGAGAAAUUUCUUCUCCAGAGAUAAGCUAGGCCUUGAAGACAGGUGUUGGCUAUGAGUAUGAAGCUGUUGCUCAUCAAACAUCUCAUGUAAAAAUACACAUCAAAGGUACAUGAAACGUUUCUCUUCCAUAGCACAAAGACACCAAGGAGCAGGAAGUGCAGUUCUUACCUGUUCAGGUUCUGCUAUGUACUGAAAUGUUCUACUUGUGCCUGAUUGAUAGGAUCCCUUGCUCUCGGCUCGGGGGCUAUGCAGGGGAGGUGGGAACUGAACGAGAAUCAUCGCGUGUGCAGUGUUGUUCUUCAGUUAGCAACAUAUACCGGUUCAGUAAGUGAGAAUCGACGGCUCUGCAUGACGAUCGCCAACUCAUGGGGAUCCAACGGCCAUCCGUCGUCGCCGUCGUCGUUUUAGACUAACAGCUACAGUGCAUUUACUCGUGUCUGUAAGUGUCGUUCAGUAAUAAAAUGUUCCAUCUCAUAAAGAACCGUAAAAGUCUCAUUCUCUGAAUUUACCCUACUCCAUCUGUCAUCAUCGUCGGAAUGGCAAGACACGUCUAAGCUACAGAUCAACAUCUAAGCUACAACAAUGAUUGCGGUUACCUGGACGCGACGCGGAAACAGGUGAUAAUGCAUCAGUAAUAGCUUUGUAUCUCUCAAAACAAUCGAUUGACAAUACAUCAAUUUAAUCAUAUGAGUAACUAGCUAGCUAGCUCGACUGCAUAUCUCGCUUAUAUUUACAAAAAGAAAGAAAAAAGCAUUCCUUGCUAAGAAAAGUCUUCGUAUUAAUCAAACCACCAGCUCAGGGGGGGAAGACCCAGGUUCCACACGGGAUGGGUAUAUUCCACCGUACCGGGCUACAAGUCCGGGACCUCAUGUCAAACACCUCGCCUGUGUUGACAAAAUAAAUGGUGUCCUCCUUGAUCUGAUUUCCACAGGGUGCAGGAACUGACUUGGAGAAGUGUGCGCUGACGAAGAGCGCCUGGCCUCCGCCUAGUCCAUUGGCCACCGGGACCCAUGCGUCUACCCCCGCCUCGAAAACCUCGGCUCCACGCGUGAACGGCUGCUCGAACUGGUUGGGAGGGAUUUGCACAUGGUGUCUCACCGUGAGCAGCUUCCCGCGUGACUCGAAGAGGUACCGAACCGUGACGACCAGCUGCUGAGCAUCGUCGUAUGCGUGUUCAAAGCCGUCCGGAAAAGACAGGAAUUCUUCGCCAUGGUACGUCCAAGUAUGAUGGCGCCUCCCAAUCGUCUUGUUCCUCCGAUAGCGCCGCUCCACCCUCCUCUCCUCCGCCUCCAGACCCGCCUCCUCGGACACGCUCCAAGAAUCGGAACCACAACCACGGUACCGAAACGGCUGUCUGAUGAGGCGCUUGAGACGAACAACCAUGCGCUUGCCACCGCCGCGCAAGCCGACGACAUCAAUCAGCAUAAGGUCCUCGGCUUUGGUGAUCGCGUAGAGCUUGUCUUCGAGGAAAGCAACGUCGAUGAUGAAGCUGUAAGGAACCUCCAUCAACGACUCCGGGGGCAGCCACGUGUCCUUCCCUCUGUGGCUCAGGAUGAGCGGGCAAUCCCAGUCUCUCGUCACGAUGGCGAUGAGGUCAUCGGGGCUAGACCUCAUGAGAACCUUGCGGAUCACUGAAUCCCUGUCGACGAUGGCGCCGAGCCCGGCAAGCGGAACGGACGCGCCGGAGAAAAGGUUGUGCAUCGAGUAGGCAUUGUCAUCGUGGCGGCGAAGGGCGAUCCAGUCGUUGGUGGAGCCGAUGAUGCAGCUCGUGUUGUCGUCGGGGAAGGAAGAAGGCAGAGGAUGCGAGUCGUUGGAGCCGUCCGAGGGAGCCAUGAAGAGGCCAUCCGGCAGAUCAAGGACGAGCUGUUGUUGUGCUUGCGGAGCGUGGUGGCGCAUGGCUGAACGCCAUGAUCGGCAGACUGCACGGAAGCGGGCGCGGUCGUUGGGGAAAGGGAGGCCGGCGAUGAGCAAUCCCAGGAGAUCUUGCGGGAGCUCGGACCAGUUACACGACGUCGCCAUGGAUCCCUCAAUCAAGCUGGUGUCUAGUGUUGAAUAAUUAGGUAAUUUCGAUGAAUAUUUCAUCCAGAAAAACAAUGCGUAAAACAUGUAGCAUAUUAUAUCAUGCAAACUAGACAAAUUAAACAGUAACGCACAGCAAUAAAACUCAUUUCACGGCAUGAAUAAUAGAACUACUAAUCAAAAUCAACAAGAAAGAGCAAAUUACGUACGGUGAUGUACUCUUUUCUUGUGUUUGUUUGUUGAGGUCGGUGACGAAUCCAGCGGCGUCGAUGUUCACGCCGACAGCAGUAGCAGCCUUGACUACCUCCUGGCCAGCGGCCAGCGCCUGCGCUUGCACCUGUGCAGCAGCAGUUGCCUGGGCUUGGAGUUGGGCAGCCUGCUGCUGUGCUUGGAGUUGGACAGCCUGCUGCUGUUGAGCUAGAGCGGCAGCCUGAGCCGCGGGAUCUCCGAGGUCGUCGUGAUAGCCUCGAGGGUGUCCCGAUCUUUCGAUGAGAUACCUAAUUAUCGAUUUGAUAGGAGGUGACGUUGACGAUCCGACUACAACCUAGGAGGCAGCGCCUUAGCGAUCGAUACACCAACUCCAGAAGGUUAUUGAUCCCGCGGGGGCACGAUCAACCUGACCACGAAGGUCUUUGUUCCUGCAACCAAUCGAAGAACAAGCAAGAACAAGAUGAAAAGCAAUCUGAAAUUGCGAAUAGGACAUAUGAAGGUUCACGAAUCUGAAUAUUCAAUAUAGUUGGAGUCUUGAUGACGGUAAAACAUGUGGUCUAACCGACACACGCGAUUACACGAAAGUAGCAAAGGCUAAACUUUAUCUAAUCAAAACCUAAAGCUCCAUGGGGGGGCUCAUGGGGUAUAAAUAGGAGGGGAACUAGGUGGUUUUCGGACAGGCCCUUGAGGGACUCCGAAACGGCCUAGGAAUCCUCCUAAAACACAACGAAAACAUCUAAAAAUUGACUGGACCCUAUUACAUGGCCUUAGGCCCAAUAAAGCAAGGUUAUAACCCUCAUCUUUGGCCCAUAGAUACCCAUUGGAGGGGGAAUCCUCCACUUGGCCGAAAUCCCAUUGAUGAAAAGGAUGUGGCCUUCUUCUCAUCUCUCGUUAUGGCGGUUUCAAUGUUCUGAAAUCAUCACUUGAGUUAGCUCCCGCCACCUUGCUGCCACCUCCAUGGUUUGCUGUCCAACCCUGAUCCUUGAGGUGCAAGCUAGGCACUUCAUUCCUAAAACACAUAAAAGAACCCAUCUUAGGCAGCAGCAUAUUCUCAUUAAUAUUAAAUGAAGUACCGAGGAACGAAAGUACCUGAUAAUUUAGUUGUCGUGCACGAGCUCUAGUAAUUGGUCCAUGUAUCUCCGGUAUUUGAGGUGUAGGUGCUGUAGGGGCUGUAGUUGCAUCAUUACUUGGGAUGUCCUCAUCAUCCUCCCCUUCUUGAAUCGAAGUCGUCCUCGACGGUAGUUCAUCUUCUUCUCCCAAAUAAGGCUUCAAAUCUGCAAUAUUAAACGUGAGACUAACCCCAAAAUCUGCAGGUAGCUCAAGUUUACAUGCAUUAUCAUUAAUUUUUGCUAACACCUUAAAGGGACCAUCAGCUCGUGGCAUUAACUUAGACUUGCGCAAAUCAGGGAAACGAUCUUUGCGCAAAUGCAACCAAACAAGAUCUCCAGGUUCAAACACAAUUUGUUUUCUGCCCUUAUCUCCCGCAAGUUUAUACUUAGAAUUCAUGCGCUCAAUGUUCUCUUUAGUCGUCUCAUGCAUUUUUAUUAUAAGUUCAGCACGUUCCUUAGCAUCAAAGUUAACUUUUUCAGAAGUUGGCAAAGGUAACAAAUCAAUUGGUGCACGAGGUAUAAAACCAUAAACAAUUUCAAAAGGGCACAAUUUUGUGGUUGAAUGCAGUGAACGAUUAUAAGCAAAUUCAAUAUGAGGUAAACAUUCUUCCCACAUUUUCAAGUUCUUCUUUAAAACAGCCCUAAGCAUAGUAGAUAAUGUUCUAUUAACAACUUCAGUUUGUCCAUCUGUUUGGGGAUGACAUGUAGUACUAAAAAGCAAUUUAGUCCCCAACUUAGCCCAUAAACAUCUCCAAAAGUGGCUAAGAAAUUUUGUGUCACGAUCUGAAACUAUAGUAUUGGGCACACCAUGCAAGCGAGCAAUUUCACGAAAGAAUAAAUCAGCAACAUUUGUAGCAUCAUCGCUCUUAUGACAAGGUAUAAAAUGUGUCAUCUUAGAAAAUCUAUCAACAACAACAAAUAUGCUAUCCCUCCCCUUCUUAGUUCGAGGCAAUCCCAAAACAAAAUCCAUUGAUAUAUCUUCCCAAGGAACAUUAGGAACAGGGAGAGGCAUAUAUAAACCAUGAGGAUUGAGUCGUGACUUAGCUUUGACAUGUAGUGCAGCGAGCGAUAAAUCUCUCAACAUCCCGUCUCAUCCGAGGCCAAAAGAAAUGAUCAGCGAGCACAUCUUCGGUCUUCUUCACGCCGAAGUGACCCAUCAACCCUCCUCCAUGUGCCUCCUGUAACAACAAAAGACGAACGGAGUUAUCUGCGAUGCAUAGCUUGUUAGCACGGAACACAAAUCCAUCAUUAAUGACAAACUUGUUCCAUGUUCUGCCCUCUUUACAAUGCUGCAAAACAUCCUUAAAAUCUGCAUCAUGUUCAUAUUGUUCUUUCAUAGUCUCCAAUCCAAAUAUCCGAAAAUCAAGAUGAGAUAACAAGGUAUAACGACGUGAUAACGCAUCAGCAAUAACAUUAUCUUUACCCUUCUUAUGUUUAAUAACAUACGGAAAAGACUCAAAAAUUCAACCCAUUUAGCAUGACGACGGUUCAGCUUUGCUUGACUACGAAUAUGCUUCAAAGAUUCAAGAUCAGAAUGUAUAACAAAUUCUUUGGGCCAUAAAUAAUGUUGCCAUGUUUCUAAAGUCCGAACGAGAGCAUAUAAUUCCUUAUCAUAAGUAGAAUAAUUCAGACUAGGCCCACUCAAUUUUUCACUAAAGUAUGCAACAGGUUUUUCGUCUUGUAACAACACACCUCCUAAACCGAUUCCACUAGCAUCACACUCCAACUCAAAAGUCUUAUUAAAAUCAGGAAGUUGGAGUAAAGGAGCAUGUGUCAACUUAUCUUUCAAUAUGAGAAAAGCUUCUUCUUGUGCAGCGCCCCAUACAUAUGGAACGUCCUUCUUUGUGAGCUCAUUAAGCGGUGCAACAAGGGUGCUGAAAUCCUUUACAAAGCGGCGAUAAAACCCAGCGAGUCCAAGAAAGCUCCUCACUUGGGUGACCGUUGUUGGAGUUGGCCAGCUUUGAAUAGCGUCGAUCUUGGCCUUAUCAACUUCUAUGCCCUGUGGAGUGACAACAUAGCCAAGAAACGAAACUCGAUCGGUGCAAAAGGUGCACUUCUCAAGGUUACCAAACAAACGUCCAUCUCUCAAAGCAUCAAAAACAGCACGUAAAUGAUUCAAGUGGUCUUCUAAAGAGCUGCUGUAAAUCAAUAUAUCAUCAAAAUAAACCACCACAAAUCGUCCUAUGAAAGCACGUAAAACUUCGUUCAUUAACCGCAUGAAAGUGCUAGGUGCGUUAGUAAGACCGAAAGGCAUGACUAACCACUCAUAUAGUCCAAACUUAGUUUUAAAUGUUGUUUUCCAUUCAUCGCCUAAUUUCAUUCGAAUUUGGUGGUAACCACUACGUAAAUCAACUUUAGAAAACACAGUAGAGCCACUUAAUUCAUCUAACAUAUCAUCAAGUCUAGGAAUUGGGUGACGAUAGCGAAUAGUAAUGUUAUUAAUAGCUCUACAAUCUACACACAUACGCCAAGAACCAUCUUUCUUUGAUACCAAAAUAACAGGAACAGCACAAGGACUAAGGGAUUCACGAAUAUAACCUUUGUCGAGCAAUUCUUGAACUUGUCGUUGAAUCUCCUUCGUCUCCUCUGGAUUGGUACGGUAGGGCGCACGGUUGGGCAACGAAGCACCAGGAAUUAAAUCAAUUUGAUGUUCAAUCCCUCGAAUAGGUGGUAAUCCUGGUGGUACGUCUUGUGGAAAGACGUCGGAAUACUCCUGCAAAACGUGAGUAACAGCAGGGGGCAAAGAGGGAGGCAUAUCCUCAAAUGAAAACAAAGCCUCUUUGCAAAUGAAUGCAUAGCAAACAGAAUUAUUCGUAGCUAACUCAGAAAUAUCGGAUUUACUUGCAAGCAAGCAUGCACCUUUCAAUUUAAUUUCAUUAACAUGUUUCGGUUCAGAUUUGCUAGUAGACGCUUGGUGCUUAAAUUCUUUAGCGACAUUCUGGUUCUCACUCUUAUCCUUCUCUUUGCUCUUUGCUCUACUAGCUCUAGCAAGAUCAUCUUUCACAAUUUGUUCAGGAGUCAUAGGUUUCAAACCAAUUUUCUUACCAGCAUGCAUAAAAGAAUAAUGAUUAGUUCUACCAUGAUGAACAGAAUCUGUAUCAUAUUGCCAUGGACGACCGAGUAACAUAGAACAUGCUUGCAUAGGUACCACAUCACAAUCCACAAAAUCAGAAUAUGUACCAGUAGUAAAGUGUGCACGAACUAUUCUAGUUACCUUGAGCUUACCGUUGUUGUUAAACCAUUGAAUGUAGUAAGGGUGGGGGUGCGGCCUGGUGGUAAGAACAAGUUUUUCCACCAUCUCCAUGCUGGCCAAAUUAUUGCAACUUCCCCCAUCUAUGAUGAUACGAACAGCGCGCUCCUUGAUGACCCCUUUUGUUUGGAACAAGUUAUGCCGCUGAUUUUGUUUGGCGUGGCUCAUUUGGACACUCAAGGUGCGUUGUGCAAUCAAACUCAAGUACUGAUCAGCGGCUUCAGCUCCCAUUAACUCCUCGUCAUGGUGGGCAGCGGGGUCUUCUUGCUCUUCCUCGGCAAUGAGAGCAUAGGUAGCUUCGUCAAAAUCACUGGCUGAAUCAUAUACUCCAUCUUCACGUAUGAUCAUAACGCGUUUGGUUGGACAGUCCCGCUGAAAAUGCCCGUAUCCUUUGCACCUACGACAUUGGUUAUCUCCGGUCCGUCCGGUGGAAGCAACAGACGCUGCUGAACUUUGUGCAGAGGCAGCGGGUGUAUUUCUUGUUGCUGCUGGUCCAACCUUUGCGGAUCUGGGCGUAGAGGUACUUUGCUUGUUGGUGGAAGUAGUCGGAACAGCCUGACGUGUAGGGGGUGCAGCUGGGCGUGUGGAAGGGGCAGCGGGGCUGCGUGCUGCCCAUGAGGAAGUACGACCUGCAGAAAAGUUAGUCCGCGCGUUCGCGUGUCGUCCCUGCACUUCCCUUUCAGCUUUGCAAGCAAUGUGAAACAAUCGAUUGAUAGAAUUAUACUCCUUAUAAUCAACAAUGUCAGCAAUUUCACGAUUUAAACCACCAAAGAAUCUAGCCAUAGCAGCUUCCUCAUUCUCAACUAAACCACAACGUAACAUGUUCUUUUGCAUUUCUUGAUAAUAAUCUUCGACAGAAUUACUACCUUGCCUUAAUUGUUGUAGUUUCUUUAACAAGUCACGCGAAUAGUAUGAAGGAACAUAUCUAGCGCGCAUAAUUCUUUUCAAAUCAUCCCAUGUUGGUGGUAUAGCGUUAAGAUGUGCAAUACAAUACUCAUGCCACAAAACAGAAGCAAAAUCAGUAAACUCACUAGUAGCAGCCCUAACCCUCUUAUUAGCAGGAAAAUCAGGGCAAGUACAUUUUUGACUCAAUUCUAAUUCCCAUGUAAGGUAAGCAUCAGGGUCAUAUUUUCCAUCAAAAGGAGGAACCUUAAGUUUAAUAGAAUGCAGCGAGUCAUGUUCCUCUCUUUGAGGUCGUGUCGGUCGCAUACCUCGGCGGUUGAAACGAGUUCGGCGACGAUCACGGUCGUUCUGAUGGUUUAUGGCCCCGUCGUGUUCCGUAUCCGCGGAGUAGUCGUCGUCGUUCUCCUCAACCUCGCUUGAGAAGGUACCGUUAUUAGCGGUCCGCUGGUUAUGUGUAUUGUUUCCUCCCGGUGUAGCGAUGGUCGUUGCAGCAAGUGCCGCCAGUUGCGUCAUGAUAUCUGCCAGAGAAGUACUAAUGGUAGCAACAGAAUUCUGUAAAGAUGUUAACUUGGUAUUUGUUUCAAUGUGCGCGCUCUCCAAGGUUCCAAGUCUCUCAUUCGCAACCCGAACGUCCUCAUCCAGCUCCUCGUUACGAUUUCUAAGCUUGCAAUCAAAAUGUGAAAUAAUGCCCUUUGUGCGUGGAGAGUGGCCUUGUAAAUCAUCGUCAGAACCUGCCAUCGUUAGGAGAAAACAAGAAAAUCACAAGGAAAAGUCCCUAUGCACUACUAGGAUGUGGGGUUCCAAAGAUCACUCCACCCAACUUUUAAUCAAGUUCUUACUCGUUCUUACCCAGCAAACAGGAAGGUGAUGGCCAGCGGCGAGAACAAGCCCUCCGAAGAUUAAUGUAUCGAUGCCUCGAGGCAAACCAACCUAGGUGUAGAAUCUGUGGAGCUUGGAGGCUUAUGUGAGUAGCAAGGAAAAGCAAAUAAUCAAAUCAGCAAUGCAAAGUUGAAAAUAUGCUCAAAAAUGCUAGUCCUAGAUGCUGGAGUCGAUAAGAACGAAUUACAGAAAUUAACUAAGCCUAGAUACUGAAAAAGGUAGAAAGGAAAGAUCAAAUGAAAGGUAAAACAAGUAAAUCUCUGGGGAAUAUUUUUUUUCUUUUUGUGGCCUUCUGUUUGGCUUCUUAUUCUUUUCUAUUUUUUUCUUUUUUUUUAUCCCCAGAAACUCACGCAAAAGAAGUUAAGACCGGAAAGCUGCACGUCGGUCUGUAGGAGAAUAGCAAAGGCUGUAGUAAGGAAAACUCAGAAAAAAAAUGAGAAAAUAUGGGUUAGAAGCAUAUCAAAACAAGCUUUCCAACAAGUGCAAGAUCACUCGAAACGGAGGUCGGACGGAGGAGAAAACUGAGAUAUACUGCACUGCCCCGGUGCCGAAAACGGGUGCAGAAACUUCGGAGCACGAAAAGUCCACCUUAGAGGCCGAAUUUGAGGGUCAAGGAGCCGUUAAUUUUAGAGGAUGCGCCUCAUCGAGAGCUUUCCGAAAAGUCCUGGAACAUCCAAAUCUGACUUCGUAUGCAAAAGAUACGGCCGUUUUAGUGAACACGGGUCAAACCCACCCGAAACUCUAAUUCUAUUUGGACUCGGGUCCGAAACUCACUCGAACUCUUCCUUUUUUUUUCGUUUUUUUUUCUUUCCUUUCUUUUUUUUUCACAACUUUCCGAACAACUUGAUCUCUAAACAAAAUUCGAUCUAUUAUGAAACACUUUCCAAAAGCACUCUUGAUUGGACUCGGACUCGAACUCGCGGCUGAAAACUAUAACUUGCCGACUCGAUGUAGGACUCGACGAGGGACUCGGUGUAGGACUCGACGAGGGACUCGGUGUAGGACUCGAAGAGGGAUUCGGUGGAAGAUAUGGUGGCGGCGGAAGAUUAUGGCAAUGGUGUGGCAGGAAGUUUGGCGGCGGAAGUUUGAUGGAAAGCCUGCGUCACACGAAAUCAAAAGACAAAAACAAGUUCGAUCUAGUAGAAAAAAUCUGAAAAACGAUCCAAUCUAAUCCAGCAACUCGACACGAUUAAUGCAGCAAAGAUUCAACAAUGCAAAUACUAAUGUGAAAAUUGCAAGGCUCAGAUUGGUUCUAGGACAAGGUAACUAAUUGUAAUUUUUGUUUGGCUUUUUCUGGACGAUAGGUAAAAACAGAUCUAAACUACGGAUAAACUGGAAAAAUCUCACCGAGCAACCUUAAGCUCUGAUACCACGUGAUAGCCUCGAGGGUGUCCCGAUCUUUCGAUGAGAUACCUAAUUAUCGAUUUGGUAGGAGGUGACGUUGACGAUCCGACUACAACCUAGGCAGCGCCUUAGCGAUCGAUACACCAACUCCAGAAGGUUAUUGAUCCCGCGGGGGCACGAUCAACCUGACCACGAAGGUCUUUGUUCUUGCAAGCAAUCGAAGAACAAGCAAGAACAAGAUGAAAAACAAUCUGAAAUUGCGAAUAGGACAUAUGAAGGUUCACGAAUCUGAAUAUUCAAUAUAGUUGGAGUCUUGAUGACGGUAAAACAUGUGGUCUAACCGACACACGCGAUUACACGAAAGUAGCAAAGGCUAAACUUUAUCUAAUCAAAACCCAAGGCUCCAUGGGGGGGCUCAUGGGGUAUAAAUAGGAGGGGAACUAGGUGGUUUUCGGACAGGCCCUUGAGGGACUCCGAAACGGCCUAGGAAUCCUCCUAAAACACAACGAAAACAUCUAAAAAUUGGCUGGACCCUAUUACAUGGCCUUAGGCCCAAUAAAGCAAGGUUAUAACCCUCAUCUUUGGCCCAUAGAUACCCAUUGGAGGGGGAAUCCUCCACUUGACCGAAAUCCCAUUGAUGAAAAGGAUGUGGCCUUCUUCUCAUCUCUCGUUAUGGCGGUUUCAAUGUUCUGAAAUCAUCACUUGAGCUAGCUCCCGCCACCUUGCUGCCACCUCCAUGGUUUGCUGUCCAACCCUGAUCCUUGAGGUGCAAGCUAGGCCCUUCAUUCCUAAAACACAUAAAAGAACCCAUCUUAGGCAGCAGCAUAUUCUCAUUAAUAUUAAAUGAAGUACCGAGGAACGAAAGUACCUGAUAAUUUAGUUGUCGUGCACGAGCUCUAGUAAUUGGUCCAUGUAUCUCCGGUAUUUGAGGUGUAGGUGCUGUAGGGGCUGUGGUUGUAUCAUUACUUGGGAUGUCCUCAUCAUCGGCCAUUGGUGAUGAAGAUGCUGACGAAACAGGGACGUGAAGAAGCGAGCAGUCGCGUGAGAACGCUCCCCAAUAACCUUAUCGACCGUCUCUCGGGCAGGAUCUCGAAGGUCGGGGUUCCAGAGGCCUGCUCUCCCGGCGAUCUGUGCACGCAGUCGCAGGCGGACUUCGGUUCGGUUUAGGAAACCAAAACCGACUCCGCAAUUCUCGAACUCGAUCCACGAAACGCGUGGCGUGGCGUGGCGUGGCGGUGAGCGGAGGAGGAGGAGGAGCGCGCGUGGGGAUUUUUCUUGCUCACUUGCUCAAGAAAUAAGAACCAACAUAUCUUAUAUAUUGGUCCAACUCCUCCUAAAUUAGUAAGGUGGGAUUAUUCCCAUUUCCUCAUCUCACUUCAUGAAUAAGCUUUUGAGAUUUUUCAGAAAUUAAUUUCAGAUUGGACCUUGGGGCUAACCCAAAAUUCCAACAUCUAGCCCUUCUGGUACGUCUGCAGCUAGCUAGCUAGUUGUAAGUACGCACGGGCAGAAGAGGUCAACAUAUAUAGAUGACGGCGUUCAGAGCUAGUCGACUCUGAGUCGGGACUGAGAACACAAACGGACUUAUGGUUACGCACGAGAAACGGAUUAUUCCUACUUGCAUUGUAAAUGAGCUUGCUGCGGUACCCUGAAAUUAAUGAGGACCGUUAAUUUAUUUUGAUCUAAAGCUCAAAUCAGUUGAUACUCCCGAAUAGGACAUGGAGUAACCGAACGGAGGAUUGCCCACGAACGAACGGAGUAUCGACAGGCAGCAUAAAAAUGUAAAAUAAAGUUUAAAAAAAUCGCGUGGCUUCUCUCUUCAUUUUCGCCGUUUCCUCUUCUCUCCCCGUCCGCCGCCGCAUACUGCCUCCAAGGGGCCUCCGCCGCCGCAAGCCGCCUCCCGAGGUCUCUCCGCCGCCUCAGGCCGCCUCCCAAUCUCCCUCCUCCGUCGCUUCUGGUGCUGCGGCUUUCCUUCGGGCGCGCGCGCGAGGCCGCGGGCGCGGCACUGACGUCGACGUUGAUGGGCGGCUGCCCGACGGACGAGAGGGAAAGGACGAGAAGACCGAGCCGAACCUGCCGCAGCUGCUGGACCCGAGCCCCAGGAACACGACCAAGAAGUGCGCCAUCUCCUGCCUCCAUGUUGCUGUCGGCGAGCAAGCUAUGAAGAAGCUCUGCGAGAUGGAAGUCGCCGGCGUGCGGCAUGAAUCCCUGAACGGCGGCGGCGGCGCUGCGAGGAGGUCGCCGGCGCUGGAUUGGUGGGGAGCAGCAGCGACGCGCUGCGAGAAAGGCGCCGAGGCAGGCGGCACGGGCUUGGCGGCGAGCGGCAGCAGCGCGUUGCGAGGAGGGGGCCGAGGUGACGCGGCAUGGGCUGGGCGGCGAGCGGCGGCGGCGAUGUAGGAGGGCGAGGACAGCAGCGGCGAAACGCCGCGUGGAGGGCGCCGCAGGCGCUUCAGAGGAGUGCGGCACUGCGGCCGAUCGGGAGAAAUCUGAUGCGGAGUAGUAUAUUUUUUUCUUUUUUCUUUUAGUGUGAAAAGUCUAUUAUACCCCUUCCUAAUACUCCACCUAGUCUGCACGCAUCGGUACAUGACGGCAUGACGCAACCGGUAGAAUUACCGCUCUCGUUAUCAUCUCUAAUAAGUCCUCUACGCUGCAGUAGACUACGGCGUAACGCUCUGUACGAACGCGCUGAUCUCGGCAAUGAGCUUGCCGGACUCGGGCAGCGCCAGGAAGAAGUAGAAACCGUGCACGGCUUCCGGGAACUCCACGACCCUCACCGCCUUGCCCUUCCGCCGAAGCAUGGCGGCGUAGCGUCGCUCCCAGUCCUGCAGCGGGUCUAGCCCGCCAACGACCACCAUCGCCGGCGGGAACGCCUCAGCCAGCUCCGGCUCCGGCCCCGCCUCCCCCGUCACGUGCGCCGUCGGGUGGUUCCUGUCGGCACCCACCGGCAGGAACGCCUUCCACCAGAAGUCCGACCGCCGAAGGUUCAUGAUCGGUGCGACGCCUUCGAGGGCGAGCUCCGAGUCCGUCCUCUCCUCGCCGCCGAAGAAGGCGGCGAUCAGCAUGACCCCGGCGAGGCGGAUGGAGGUGUCGGUUGGAGGCGGCGAGGCCGUCCAGCGGUGGGCGACGUGGUGCACGAUAUUGCCCCCCGCGCUGUCGCCGGCGAGGAAGCAGCGGGAGAGGUCGAUGGGGACGGGGAGGCCGGCGGCGUUGGCGGCGAGGUAGCGGAGCACGGCUUCCCCGUCGUCGUAGGCGGCGGGGUAGCGGUGCUCGGGCGCGAGGCGGUAGCUGACGGACACGACGACCGCGCCGGCGUCGCGGCAGAUGGUGCGGCAGAGGGCGUCCAAGGGGCCCGUGGCCGCGGAGAACACCGUGAAGCCGCCACCGUGGAAGUAGACGACCACCGGACGCAGCGGAGACGGUGCCGUCGGCUCGGGAGCAGCAAAGAAGACCCUCACCGUCACGCCGGUGGAGGCGUUGACCAUGACGUCGACGGAGCGGACCCCGCCAGAGGCGUCGUCGGCAGGCACUUGGCGGCGAUCGGCGAUCAGGUUGAAGAGGCAGCGGUUGACUGUGCCGUCUCGGCGGCGCUGCGUGACAUCAAAGGCCGCCUCGAGCCGAAAGAGCUGCAGCCGCACCUUCCAUGGCAGCGCCGCCCGCACGCGCGCCCGGAGCUGCUCGCGCGUGCCGUCCGCCAUUAAUUCUCUCGCCAAGCUUGGUUGCUCAGCCUGUACUACAGGAGGGUGUGCAUCGAGCUAGCUCACUCUGUCCUCUGUAUAUCUUAACUACUACUAGUAGUAUCUUGCCUGAUAUGAUCUUGAUUAUUUUUGUUGCCGGCCGGCAGGUGGCAACAGUGACAUGCAGGCCAGUCGCAGGCAGCCAGACAAUGGCGUGAUCGGCGAUGCUGCUAGCCGGUAGCCGCCGGCCGGGUUUCCUGUCGCACACGUGUCCUGUUGGUAUCUAUAUUAAAAUGCACUAAAAUAACGACACGAAUUAUGAUUUUGGAUCCGAGGCAGUCGUUCUAACUUAAAAAUCAAAAUCAGACAACUCCUUAUAUUUCCAGCCGUGUCAAAAUCAAAUAAGUACACAACACAUACAUUGCAACGCAAAUCACCCACCAAAACCCGCAGCUGAACUUUCCUAACACCAAACAGACAAACACAUGCCAUAUCCUCGACGGCCAAGCCUGCAGCCGCCCAGCUAGACCGACCGAUCACUCACUCCUGGCUGUUCACGACCCGGCAGUACUCCCUGACCUCGCCUUCAUCGCCAGUGAGCGGGCUCAAGUUCCCCAGCUUCACCAUAGCCUUCCCAAAAUCCUCCCAAAACUUAUCCUGAUUCUCAGCAUAAUACCUCACCAUCCCAUCACUCUUGCCCCCAUCCCCAUUAUACAGCUGCUGGUCCGUGUGCAGCAGCGCGUGGCCGUUCAUGAGCCCGGCGUAGUACUCCGUGUCCAUGGUCGUCGGCGUGUCGUCGAGCGCCGCCAGCGCCUCUUGGUCUUCUUCGCCUCCGUCGCGCGAGCACUGCUCGUCGAGGGACGCCGCGUAGGCCGGGUCCAGGGUGGACGUCUCGUUGUAGAGGCGGCUCCGGUAGAAGACGCAGCGGGAGUAGCCCAGCGUGUGCGCGCCCGAGAGCACGACUAGGUCCCGGAGUGUCAGCCCCUGGGCGUGGAAGGUUGCUAGGAGCUCUGGGAGGUCCAUGAAUGGGUUCGGGAUGCUGGCGUCUGCGGCGUCCUUGCUCGCCGUCGUCCCGUCCCGCCGGCCUAGCGGCACCUCGUACGAGCUCCCUCCCAGCUGCAAUGCAAUGCAAGAACCACGAUCAUAUAAAAAGAUGAUCAAUCAUUAAUGCCAUUGUCUGGAAAUGGGAUUAUGUUACAUUGAUUAAUUGUCGUUUUGGCUGGACAGAGUCAAGUUUGGUAUGGCUUGGUUUCUUCGGGGUGAAAAGGGGUGCUAGCUGCAAGUUGUCGGAGGAAGACAGAGAGAGCUAAUCUGAUCGAUGAGAUAAAUAAAUUAACCAUUUUCUUGUUGAAUUUUGUCAUCAGCUGGGUCGACUAAGAAGUGUUGCUGUCUUGCUGAUCAUAAAGGUGCUUUAAGCAUCGCUUAUCUUACGGUUACUCAGUGGUCUUUUCCCACUACUUUGUGGUGCAGGCAUGUACAAUCUUCAGCAUGUUUUCCCCUAUGUCUGACGAACAUGUCUAAAAAUUUGAUCUGGCUGUAAAAAAUAGUCCUUGUAGUACAGACUGAAGUUACUGAAGAACUUACAGCGACAAUGGAGUCACGGGCGGCGAGCGCGAGGAUGUCAGCGCAGGAGACGACGGUGCCCAAGCAGGCCGUGUCGACUGCCGCCUUGAUGGCGUCGAUGACGCCGAACCCUCGCACCGACAUGUUGUUGGCCUUGGCCGUCUUCUCCCCGACCAUGCCGUCCGUGUCGUCCAGCAGAACGGACCCGUCGCACCCCUGCAUCCAAAGCACAACCGAAACACUUCAUCCAUGGCUCCACAUAUCAACGGACACACGGCCUAGCUUGCUUAAUGGUGAAAGUUCUCAGUGCGUAAGUACGUUGACGAAGCAGUCGUGGAAGUGGAGGCGGACGAGGGAGGCGCCCAUCCGGGGCUCCUUGAGGAUGGCCGCGCCCACGACGAACUUGAUGGUCGCCAGCGCCUGCGGGCACGAAUCGCCGUAGUAGUCGGCUGUGAGCUCCCCGGAGGAGCCGGCACCGGUGCCAGCGGCGAAAGCCAUGAAGGCUAAGCAGAUGAGAAUAGCUGCCAUGCUCUGAAGAAGCUAGAAUUCAAGCUUGCUGGCUAGCUCUCUAGAGGCACUGGCACAUGAACAGUGCCCAGGCUAGAUGUACUUGGCUAGUGAUCACUGAUUAGAUACUGGAUUGUGACUGAUAUGCUGUGAGAUUUAACUGGGUAGGAUUUGAGCCGUGUGUUUAUAUAGCAUCUGUGAUGAUUCUCAGUGCGGUCGAUCGACUGACCUGUCGCUAUUAAUUUUCCUUGCCAUAUAAUCACCAACCGGUGCUUGUUUACUGUUUCAGUACAGCCAGUUGAGGAUGCAGAAUUGCAGAUCCGCCGACCUUUAUCCUUUUCAUGGGCGCGAGGCUAGCUUGUGCAUCAAGAGACCAGUUUCUUUCUUCUCCGUCUUAUCUAUCGAUGAUCGCUCAUUGACAGACAGGCUUUUACUUGCGUGUAUCGCCGAUGAAAUUGACCCAACCCGCGUUAAUUAGAGUUAGCGCUGCACAAAAGAAAGCUGUUCUCGUUAUGUUUUAAACUCUGAGCACGGCAAAUUUAUCGCUGAAACUAAACAGGUUGGUGGAGUGCGAAAUUACGAGGUUUCUUGCAGUGGUCAGCAAGCUAGAGCUGCUGUGCCGACAGUAGUUUCCCAGCAUAACCAUCCUGCUCGUCUGCAUACUUAGCUUUCUGACGACUAACGGGUCUGUUAAUCACACACGGCAAAGACAGCACCUGAACACUACAGUUUUAUGCUCCGGCACGGUACUAAUGGCAAACAGCUCUGUGUGAUUGGGUUUGCAGUUUUAUACAAGUUACCCUAACCUUGUUGCUUUUGAUGCACCGGUCGAAAGAGAUGGCUGAGCUAAAUUGGUGAUGGAUCGCACGGUUUAGGCAGCCACCGAACAGCAGUCUGUAAUUUGUCUGUCCCUGCUCUUCCACAAGUCACAAGUCUGCACUCCCUCUACCUGUAACUCUCUAUUUUCACUUUUCUGUGCCUUGCUCUGUAAUCUCUCGACCCCUUUGACAGUAAACAAAUACUGCCUCCGAUUCAUAAUAAAGUCUUGGGAAUUCAAUACAAAUUUGUAUCAACUUUAUGAAUCGGGAGGGAGUAUAAAUAGCAGGCUAUUUGAAAAAGAAAAUCAGGCUGCAGAUGAUUGGUAAAUGAAAAAACAAACAGACAAUUGUGUUUGAAUGAUGUAUCCGUUAUUGGAGGAUUUUUUUUUAUUGAGAGGAUAUUGGAGGAUUGAUCUUAAAUACUGGCGGGUGGGCUUAAAUUGGGCCGCUCGGAGAUGCUACCCGUAUCUGGUGAAAAGCCCUAAAGUCAGUCCUUAUUGGGCCGCCGAUGGGUCUACCUAUGAGUCCAAGUAGCGAAUAGACAAUUUCUUCCCCCAUCUCGUGUCCAGCCCAAGCCCAGCCCCAGCCCACGCUGUCCCUGUCGUGUCAUCGUAGAGACUGGCGAGUUAGAGAGGCAGCGCGUGACCGUGUACCUGUGCCUGUGGGCUGUGGCCCGUGAGACUGAUGUUUGCAACGGCUCGAUUUCGCUGCUUCCUCGUGACGCGCGGCGCGGCAGCGGUAAAUAAUGCAAGCAAGCAAGCAAGCUUAGAGAGAGUGAGCUCAUGAGAUUGCAGAGCUCACUCGUGCAGCCACUCGACAAGGUUUUGCCGUGCAACGGAACGGCCGCCCUCUCCCUAUCCUGCAUUCCAGAGGGCCGGGUCGAUAAGUAAAUUACUCUAAAUUAACACAAGACGCUUGUAGAUUUUUCGUACUUAUCAAAAGCACUAGCAGCAGCCGUGGUGGUAUUUUAACAUAGGACCACUGAUCUGUCUGACUGAAUAUUUGUAGUUGUGUUUAGCGACAAGCGUGCAUAGGCAAGCUGGAGCUGGAGCACUGACAAGCAGCAUGAGUGAGUGAGGCCAAGUCCAACGGCUAGCACCAAACGGCUACUAGCUCUCGGCCCGGUCAACGGCUUCCUAUUAAACCCAACAAACAAACCACACACUCCACCCAAGACUCCCCAUUCCGUUCUCUCCCUCGCUCUUCGCCCAAACCCAAGAACCCAACGGCACGGAACCCCAGCAAAGAACCCUCUGCCGCCGCGCUGCACGGCUGUACCUGCACUGCACGAGUCCCCAUGAACGGCGAGGAGGCGCGGCAGCAGGACCCGGCGUGCGCCGUCGGCGGCGGGAGGGCGGAGAUCGACACCUCGGCGCCGUUCGAGUCCGUGCGCGAGGCCGUCGACCGCUUCGGCGGCAGCGCCGCCUGGAGCUCCGGCCUCGCCAGGCGCAUCUUCGCGCACCACAAGGUACUGCCCCUCCCCAACUCCUCUCCUCCUCCCCUCCGCAACUCAUAUUUGGCCUGAUUUACUAGUAAAGCUACUCGGUCGAGGAAUAGUGAGGGGGAAGGAAGGAAGGAGCCCUACUGUUGUUUCCUCCUCUGCAGAGUUACUUGUCCUCACCGUAAAUCUACGGAGUAAAUGCUGUAUCGCUGUGUCUGCCUACUUUGGGUUAGCUCGCAGUUUAAUUAGGAGCAGAGCUGUUGUCCUUGAUAUGGUGGCAACCAAAUGCGGCUAGUAAAUUUUGCAUCCUUUCGGUGGCAAAUGCGGCUUGUUAAUUUUUCAUCCAUGUGAUGGAAAAUGCGGCUAGUAAUUUUGUUCGUCGUCUAAUCUGUGUCUUUGGUGCUUUUCGUUCUGCAGAAACAGGGCAAGUGCGAGGGGACUGAAGAAGAAGGAGAGGGCCUCGAUCUAGAGGAACAGACCGCGCAGCUGGAGAAGGAGCUUGGCGUCAAGGAAAGGGAGACGCUUUAUGUGCUCAAAGAAUUGGAGUCUGCCAAGAAGAUUAUCGCGGACCUGAAGCUCAAGAUUCAGAAUACAUUACCACCCAUCAGUGAAGUGCCCAUUGCAGAACCUGAAGAGCAGCGGGCUGAGGAAGAUGUUAAGGCUGAUGUGGAGAUGCCUGGCGCAUUGCCCGUCACUGAAGUGCCCAUUGCAGAAGCUGAAGAGAAGCAGCAGCCUGAGGGAAACGGCGAAGCCGAUGUGGAGAUGUGCGGCGUGCAAGAUGAGCAAGAGCAGCAGCAUCCUGCUUCGGUUCUGAUGGAGCUUCAGCAGGCCAAAUCAAACUUGAACAGGACGACGAGCGAACUAGCCGCCAUAAGAGCCUCUGUCGAGUCGCUGCGUAACGACGUAGCGAAGGAGAGGGUCUUGGUGGAGAGAAGCCGGGAGAAAGUGUGCUCGGAUGCUGCAUUGGUUUCUUCUCUGGAGGAUGAGCUGGACCAGACCACGCAGAAGUUGCAGACGCUGAAGGAUCUGCAGAGAAGGCGUGAGGAUCCCUCUGAUAUUUUCAUCGAGAUCAAGAAGAUGACGUCUGAGAUAGAGCAGCUCCGAAAUGCUGCAAACGCGUCGAGAUCUGAGGCUAUGAUGUUAGCUGCUGAAAUCGAGCAGACGAAGGCUACCAUAGGCACCGCUGAAGUGAGGUGUCUUGCAGCCCAGAAGAUGGAAGAAGCAGCAAGAGCUGCAGAGGCUCUCGCACUUGCUGAGAUCAAGGCCCUACUAAGCAGUGAAGCCACAGCUGAAGAUCUUCAGAGCUCUGAUGGAGUGGACCUUUCAGCGGAAGAGUACUUUGAGCUUGCCUCAAAGGCUCGAGAGGCUGAUGAAAGCUCAAGGGGAAAAAUUGCAGCUGCCAUGGUCCAUGUGGACGAAGCCAACCAAUCAAAGUCCGAAUCACUUACAAGGCUGGAGGAAGCCAAAAUUGAAGUUGAGGAAUGCAAGAAGGCACUAAAGGAGGCCCUGAAGAGGGUCGAUACUGCCAACCGAGGGAAGUUCGCAGUGGAAGAGGCUCUUCGUAGAUGGCGAUCCGAGACUGGAUACAGGAGGCGCUCGUUCCGCGGCUCUCCCAAGUUCAAAAAUGCAGCACAUCCUCGCAAAGAUUCUCAUAGCAUGGAUAUCGUUGAUGUUUCAAACAGCUCGAUGAAGCCGACACUGUCGAUCGGGCAAAUACUGAGUAUGAAGCUGAUGGGGCCUGAUGGGUAUGACAAAAGCAUCUCGGACGACGCAAGCGAAACUUCUAGUAUCUCGCUUGGCCAGAUCCUGAACAGGAGGCAGGCUAUCUUAUACAGCAGCGAUACAAGUGCUCACAAGAAAGUCUCGGGGAAGAGGAAGAAGUUUGCCUUCACUGGGCUUUCUGUUUUCCUGGCAAAACAAGCCAUGAGCAAGAAGAAGAGAGGAUCAGAUUAGAACUGAUGUUGCAGGAACCACUAGCUAGUUAAUGAGUCUGUCGUAAUAUUGUUCCUGUAUGUUGUUUCUGGGUUCUAUGAUAUUCUGAUAUAUCUCUAGGAUGUAGCUCCAUGUUGAUAUAUCUCGCUGAUGUGGCUGAUGAUUAGGGUAGUUAGGUUAGUAUCAUGUGCUCUAUGAACGAGGAUAUCAUCAGUUCAGUUAGCUUUGUUCCAUGUACCUUGUGGAUCUGUAUCGUGUAGAAUUAUGAACCAGUUGUGCUCUAUGAAACAUAGAAGAUGUGAGCAGCUCAUUUUUCUAAACUAUGUUUCAUCUACUCCCUCCGUCCCAUAUUAAGUGCCGAAACAUUACAUGUAUCUAGACGCAUUUUAGGUAUAGAUACAUCCAUAUUUGGACAAAUUUGAGACACGAGUAUUAUUUUGGAUAAAAACCCUUGUGACUCAAUCCUCUGUGCCUGGACUUGGAGGAGUGAGUAUAUGGCCGUUGGUGAAGGAAAUCAAAACAUGUUUGUGCUCAGAUUAUCACUAAUAUUAAAGCCAUGACAAGGUUUGUGAACACCAAGUCGAUAUGUCCGAGUGGUUAAGGAGACAGACUUGAAAUCUGUUGGGCUACGCCCGCGCAGGUUCGAUCCCUGCUGUCGACGAGUUCUUUUUACCCCCCGGCGUCUCUUUUUUGGUUGGGCUGGGCCUUCUCUUUCCAUGGACACCGAGCGUCCCAUUUUUCGCUGGACCAGGUCUUCUCUUUUCACUGGACUGGGCCUUUGGACUGCGUUAGCCAUUAGGCAUCCAAUGUUUUGCAUCCACUCAAAAACAAUCCUCAUUUUCCUUGCUUUUUAUGCUUAUGCAAAACCCUGCUCUAUUUUUUUUUGAAGAAAAAACCCUGCUUUGAUGCUUUCCCCAGUUAUUAGCACUCAGGCAGAAGUACUUAACAUCAUCCAGAAGUACCAUUUCCCACACUAUUAAAAGCACUUCCAAGAGUAAAAAUUAGCGCUGUGCGUGCCUAUGCCAUGAGAAUGAACAGACAUGCGCGCAUGAGCAUGACGUGAAUCAAAGCCUGAAAGAUUUUCUUUUCCCCGUAAUGGUUAGGUUCGAUCAGGUCAGGCAUGGCUGUUCGAAAUCCCUUUCAGGACGUAUAACGCACGCUUUGCCGCCGCCGGCCGGCCGCCGUCGCCGUCACGAAGGCGGUUCACGUUGUUUGCAUGGGACCGAAAAUUAACCUGCCGUGCCGCCGCCGUACUGGCCACGGUCGUUGUGGCAAGAGGGUGUCCAGGUUCAACGUACUCGACUGUUUUUGUUGUUCCAAGCAGUGCCGCUUGAGUUUUGAGGGGUUCCGUUCCGUGGCAGAAACGAGAAACGGAUAUUCUCGUUGGGUUCGGCAGAUUCUUUGAAAACAAUUAAUGGAUGCCGGUGCAAAUCUUAGAGAUGAUGACUGGUAACUGGUGAGUCCGGAUGGAGAAACAAAACUGGAAAUGGUAAGUUCAGUAAAACCAUAACCAUUUGGUCCAGUACUCUGCCAAAGCAGCAUUGCUGGAGUUUCUAGACGUUUAGCCAUGGGUUUUUUUUUCUGAAGAAGUCGUCAGCACGACCUGCAUGCAUGUUGUUCCAAUCUCAGGGUCAUAAGCAGCCUCGCAAGAAGAAACCAGAGGCGCUUCGUCACGCCACGAUCGAACACCUUUUGCAACACGUACUGCAUAUGCCAUGCCGCAGGCAUACAUUAUCAUUUUGUUCAGUCAACCGCUACACCAGACUCGAGAAAUAUCGUGCUAUAAUCUUUACCUCUCCGAGCACCGAGAGCCACCACGUCCCUUUGAGAGGGGACAAAUUUACCAUUACAUGGAGCCACACCCAUCUGUGUAUCUUUGCUUACACUGAGACACAUUUCACGAGCCAAACCCUGACGUAGGCUCACCAAACUUUACCAAAAAAACAUGAUCAUAUAUAAUGAUUUCGAGCCCGACUCAUUUCAAUCAAUCAAGAUAUUAUGUACGAACAACCAUACGAUGCUCUUGCCUAAUGCCUACGCGUGUCCCGUCCACGUCAUAUAUCCAACUAACCAUAGUCUCCAAUUUCUCCACCACGGAGUGACCAGUGACCAGUGACCACAGUAGUACAGUACGUAUUGGGGCAGUGUACCAACCGGCCGGUGAUAGAAGGAUCGGUGAAUGCAUCCUGUGCUUCAGCUCCACGCCACACAGCCACGUACUAGUCCUACUCAUCUAGAGCAGCCAGUACAGCCUUCGAUUCCCAGCCCUACGUACACAGCGUGCUACAGUACACUCCUGCCCCCACAGCCACCAGAUUAUAUCUACCUAUCGAUCCAUCGGUCGGUGUCCAUGUGUCCAGCUUAUAUCGUUUUCAGAUCAAAGCAGAAGGGCCUACGAGAGCUCAGAGAGGCUGUGACACGCGAAUCACGGCGAGCGGUCCUGGAUUAAACCCCCGUUAAAAUAAACCGCACAUCAUACAUCAACGUAAAGCAAAAGCAGAAUCGUAUAGUAGUACGGGCGACCGCGACGCGUCCGGGGUCAGAAGCACACAUGCAUGCGCCGGUCGGUGCGGGGCACUGUACGAGAACAAGGCCACCUUUGUCGACACCUAAACGGUUGGACGUGUCCAACGAACGACGGGCAGGACGCGUUGUGGACGAACGUGUCCUGGUUCUGGAUUAAUUGUGUGUGCAUCGUCGUAAUUACCCACCGUCAAUUGGUUGGAAUUAUGUACGCAUUGUCCUGGUCCUUGACUCGCAUAAAUGUGGUCGAGCGGAGGAAACUUCCACGCAAAGCUGCUGCUGCUCUUUGCCUGCAACUGCAUGCACGAUCGAGUCGGGCAGCCGACCUCUGAAUUAACCUAACUUUGGAAACCUCUUCUUCUUCUUCUCCUCUUUGGGCGGCGGCGCAUUUCCCGAUCCAAGGAUAUCCGGUCUGCAACGGCGACGACCGGCGAAGUUUUUUUUCUUCUUCUUCUACUUCUGUUGUUGUUGUUGUUUGUACGUGCAUGCGGGGAUAGAAAAUUUGUGUCCUAGCCGGCCACCGUGAGAAAAUGGAAUGGGGAUCUUUUUACUAGACGCGCUCGCAGGGCGCUGUCAAAAACGUUGCUAACACGGCUGUUAUGUUCUACGCGGUAAGUAGGAAAUGUUUACACGGUUGACGUCGUAAGGCGGCGCCGGGAUUGUUUAUUUUUAAGGUGGUGUGCUUCACAUUUUCAGACGACGGAUGCCGGCCUGCCAGUGCCGUGCGGGCACGCUGUUAUCGAAGCUUUACCUUAACCAACGGCCGUGCACCCUCUCCGUUACAUAAUUUUUAUCAAAAUAUUAUAUGUAUCUAGAUUUUUUUUAAAAUAGAUACAUUUAUUUUUGAUCAAAUUUAAGACAAGAAUUAAGAGGAAGCAGCACGCGACGCAGGUGCCCGGUGCUCUGCAGCACCGUAGAUCAUGAUAUGAUUGCGCCCUUUUUCAGUGAGCAUUUUCAUCGAAACAGCGACCCCCUUUCUCAAAUUGGAAUGGUACGUCUAGUUAGGCCGUGAUGUCUUCGGUUUGACGCGCCCGUGUGAACCUGUUAAUACUUCCCGGGAUACUUAUUUAACUGCACAACCUUUUACCGACUGUCGGACAAGUCCGCCUUUCUCCACGCCAAAACAGUUGGACGUGCCUGACGGGCAAUCAACCACCGUCAUACAAGAGCUGGAACCGCGCUCUGGAUUGUCGUUCGAUCUCCGAAUCCCAGGAUUAAUUGGAUCGAUCGAUCGAUCGAAGCGGAACGACCGAAGGAAGCUUCCGAUCGAGCAAUUAAACACACAAGCUGCAAGGUAGUUGAAAAUUAGGAAAUUGCGCCACCAGAAAAGACACACGUAUCGUAUAAGCCGGUCGAUACGUCGAUCGAUGUAACAUGUUAAGAUUUUUCCGUGGCAACAACAGAGACUACCGGCGCGUGCGUUUGUUACCAAUUUUCCAUGGCAGCAAAACUCCAAAUCUCUGUUUUCGCACGUAGAUAAAAAAAAAAGGGCUCCAGGCCGUGCCCAAGGGGCACAGGCUGCACGUGCGACGCGGUGCAUGGUACAAAAAUCUCUCCAGUGAGCUCCCACUGAUCACUUUCAGUGCCUAUAAGAGGGAAAACGACAUAUAUGCUUAGAUUGAUGGUCUAAUUGGGCCGUGACGCAUUUGGUUUUUGACGCAACCGUGUGAACUAAUAACGCUUUCCACCUAAUUUACCCGUGAAACGGACGGCUGAUUCCGCCGUUCCCGGCCCCUUUGCUGUCAUGUUCCAGAAGAUACAGGGCAGCUGCAUGGUUCCAUGGCGUGGUGCGGUACACUGGUCAAUGAAAUCGUAGAAAAAUGGUGGAUAUUUCCUGAGGUCGAGAGAGCCCGAGAAUAAAUUUAAAUUAAUUACCGGCUGAAUAAUUCGGGGUGUGAUGAUGUAACGUCGGCGGAAAGGAACAGCCACGGGAAAUCGAUGAGAAAUUAUUUGCCGCAUUAAUUCCUCGCCGAGAAAGAAAAAAACCAAGCUAAAUUACAAAACUCUUUCUUGUCAAAAUGCUCGAUCGAGUACGUACGUUUCUAGUGUAUAUACACAGCCGGCGCGUGCAUUUUACUUAACUUGCCGUAUUGGCACGACAAAGAGCUAGCUAGAGUCUGCACACGGCAAACGCGCGUGCAUUCCAGAGCUCGUACGCGUGCAUACACCUCUCGUUCUGACUGACUUAUACAACUUGUUGCCAGCAACGUGCCGGCUGGGAAGAACAACUGGAGUGUAGUAUCAUUUUGAUAAGCAUGUUCAACUCUCAUCAACGACGACAACUGUGUAAGCUUACUAGUAGCUUGUACCUAAUGAUCAAACAAAGGCAACCAACAGUCUAAUUGGACCAAACUCCAGCUGGUUCGGAACCGGAAGCUAAUAAGCUCUGCUUGCAUGCCGGUGCCACUUGCCAAUCUGGACUACGAAUCUACGAUACGACGCCCAAUACUUGCCCCAAUUGGACUCGCAGACUUAGUUUAUUUUAUAUCUGUUGGAGAGGAGCAAAUUAUUGAAUAACGCAUCUCACGUGAAUACAUAACUUUCAUGGUUGACUGCCCCGUGUUUCACGUCGAUGAAUCCCGCGCGAAACUAUUUCACAAGAACAACCCUUUUGCUCAGCGUCCGGCACCAAGGCGUUAUAGUAACUAGCAAUGCGUCACAUCUUUUGGAGCUAUGACCCUGUCAGCGUGAGCAGGCCUGGUCAGCGUGGCCAGCCCAAGCCCCACACGUGGUCAUUUAACGUCUAAGGACAGGGCGCUAUACAUCAGAGCAUAGCGUCUGUGUGUAAGGCCUUACGCCCCGUACUACGCCUAACUUUUUGCAUGAAUACCAAAUAGAACUGGGACGCUUAUUUUUAUACUGCACGCCUCGCCUCCCUGCCCUUUACUGCAUGCAAGCCUUCCAAACGCCCUUCCAAACGCCCUAUCCAAACGACCUGCAGCAUGCUAGCAUGAUCAGCUGGCUGCAAUAAGCGGAGAGAAAGCAUGAUUGGAAAGCACACACUACAACGAAGGAGGCAUGGAGUAGACAAAAGGCAGGGUCGCGGGGGCAAAGCAAUUUCUCCAAAAAUGUUUAGCACCCGCGUUAUGCGGCCCCGUACAUGAACGGAAGGCUUGCAUGCAGUAGAUGUGAGAGAGGUGAGACAUGCAGUACAUCAGGGGCAAAAUAGUGUAGAAAUAAGCAUACUCGUCCCAUCUCUCUCUGGUAUUUAUGCAAAAAAUUAGGCCCAGUGCAGGGUAACGCCUUACACACAGACGCUAUGCAUCAGUACACAUCGCCCUUCUCUUAGAAGUUAAAUGACCACGUGUGGGGCCUGGGGUGGCCCCGUUUGGCCGCGCUGCCAGGUGUAUAGCGCUUAAGGAAGUGGCGUUGAGCUAUAUAUGAUAACGCCUCGGUGUCGGGCGGUAAACAAAAAAGUUAUCCCUGUGAAAUAGUUUCGUGUGGGGUUCAUCUGACGAAAUAGUUUGACCACGAGGUCUGUUUUGUCGAAAUCGACCUGUUUCACUUUCAUAGCACAUACAGGCUACAACAUAGCUUCAGGCAAAAGAAUACUCCAAUGCUACUCGUGGCAUGUAUUUACUGGUUCGAGAUGAAGUACAUAAAAUGGAAAACAAAAGCUUUGUGGAUAAUAUGCCAUUAAAUAUAUUGUACCGUGCAUUGCACCAUACGUACAUGUACCAUGUACGUACUCCUACAUACUCCCUCCGUUCCUUGAAGAAUGGCAUAUUAUCUUUCAUUAAGACAAAACGUUGAUCAUAAAUUACUACGUAUAUCAAGAUGUGUUUUAUAUGACAUAAAAUUAGUAUCGUAAGAUUCGUUAUAAAAACUACUUCAUGAUACUUGUGGUUACAUAUAAAUCACACUUUAAUAUAAUAAUUUAUGGUCAAAGUUUUAUCUUAAUGAAAACUAAUAUGAUAUUCUUUAACGAACGGAGGGACUAUGUAGGAGUAAGUACAUAGCACGGUACAUGCAGCGUAUGGUGCAAUGCACGGUACAUACAUGUAUCGUAGCCGCAUUAUUGGCUCUCCGGCUAGCUAAAAGUAGGUAUAGGAGUAGGGAACGUGUAGUCGAUUUCUCGCAGUUAGUGCUGCUAUCUUGAGAACUUUGCUUAAAGCAAGAGAAUGAUAUCACAUACGAAGAAAGCAAUUAAUAAGAGUAGAAAUCUUUGGUUCGAAGGCAACGGGAGCGACUCCGACGUACGAGUCGACGUUGAUGCCCUGCUCCCGGCUCUCCACGAGCUUCCCAUUUUUCGUGUUUUUGGGUGCGGCGAGCGGCUCACGCUGGGUACCCACCGGAUGGAUCUCUGCUUGUUUGUCCGGGGGACUGUUCAUGGCCCUCCGAUGCCCAUACGGCAUAUCCACAGUAAGAUCCUGAAAACGUCAUCUCGUUUAUAUAUGCAUAUAUGGAUGUGGCUUCAGAAAGGUUUGUUUCUAUUUUCCUUGUUUAGAUAUAUCAUUGCUUAUCGAUAUCUAAAAGAAAGAUAUUGUUCUUUAUGUGGACAGAUACAGAGUUUGGUGUGCAUGCCAGUCCGUAAGCCACCGGGUUUCGAUGCUGGAAAGUAGUGUGUUUUUUCAAGCAAAGAAAACGUUUAUUAAAUGUUUUAUUUUCCACCUUUGGUUUCUUUGGUUACUUGUAUGAGAUAUAUGGCGUUCCAAUUGUUCUCAACAUUCAACCACGAGAAACAUCAAACAUGUCCCUUUUAACAGCUACUACUGCUAUCAGCACCGUCAUAGGUUUCGCCUUCAAAAAUGGGGAAUAUAUGCACGCAUUGUUUCUCAAUCUUGCAAAUAUCUAAUCAUAAGAUCAUGAAAAUAAAAUGCGAACCACACAGCCACAAGUCCCCAACCACGUGAAUGGACACAACACACACGUAGUCUUAACAUUGAAAGUUAGUGAAAUCUCACAGCUAUGAAUUAAUUCUUCCACGGCCACUAAUAACCUUAACAUUGAAACUUGACCGUCCAAAACACACCCCAUCUUCAAUUCAAACAGCAACAGCAGCAGUACAGCACACGCUAGUACUACAGCUAGUCAACAACCACCGUACGUGCAACGAAAACGUACCAAGCAACCGAAAAUCCUUUGAAAAAUAAAAAUCUUUGACAAGAAAAUAUGUUAAUAGAAAGAUAUUGUUAUUUAUGUGGAGAGAUACAGAGUUUGGUGUCGCGCCAGGUUUUGAAGCUGGAAAGUGUUUUUGCCACCAAGCAAGAAAACUUGAAUUAAAUGUUUUUUUGCUCUUACACAUAUGUUUCUUACUUGUGUGGUAACAUAGCGUUUGCUUGUUCCAAACUUGCAACAAUAGGAGAAAUUAAUAUAUCCCCUAUUAACAGCUGCUCCACAGUACAUGCAUUGUUUCUAAUUAUUGGAAAUAUCUAAUCACAUGACCCUGAAUCAAAUGCGUAACACAAGUCGCCAGCACAUGCCAUGGACACAAAAGAAGCACACAUUGUCACCUUGUUCUCUUUGAAAGGUACGCAUGAUCAUCACCCUUGGAAGUUAAAAACCUCAUAACUAUAAAUUCCUUCUGAGCCACCAAUAACCAGAGUUGUAAGCCGUCCAAACACCUUCGCCUUUAAACUCAAACAGCAACAGCUAGCACACGCUUCUAGUUGCAGCACUAAUUAAUCAACCACCGUACGUGCAUCCAUCCAUCCAGACCGUACCAUGCAGCAAAAUACGUCCAGGAGUAUCUCUUAAUCUGGAUAAUAAAUGUAAACAAUAAUGUAGUAACAAUCAGGGAUCCUGCUCAGCCGAUUACAGGAAACUUCCCUGCUGCCACGCCAACAGCAGCUGUUCAUGCUGCAAUAGAACGGUCCCACCUGUCAUAACCCGCUUUCCUAAUCGGGACCCGGCCCCACCUGUCAUCGUCGCUUUCCUAACUGAGAGUCUGAGAGCCGGGCCCGCUUCUUCCCCAGAGACUCGCAUAAAUACCGACCCGUGAGUGCACAGCGGAGGGAUCGUCUUCAACCAAACUCCAACUCGAACUCCAAACAACAGCACAGCGCAGAAACCGAGAGCAAAGAAAAGUCUCCGCCUUUUUCGUCUUCGUCCUGUCCGCGGCGGAGAAAAUUACUCCCCCACAGUCGCGACCGAGCACUACGACGGCGCCGGCCGAGCAGACGCCGCCGCCGCGAUGCCGCCCGCCGCCAGCCCCGUCCCACCCUCCGCGGCGGCGGCAGCCCCAGCAGCAGACGACUCCUCCGCCGCCAACGCCGUCGUCGUCCUCGGCGGCAGGUACGAGCUCGGCGCCAUGCUGGGCCGCGGGGCCUCGGCGAAGGUGUACCAGGCCCGCGACCUCGUCAAUGGCGGCGACGUCGCCAUUAAGUCGUUCCCGAACCCGGGCUCCGGCGGCGGCGGCGCCAUCGAGCGCGAGGCGGCGAUCCUCCGGCGGCUGCGGCACCGGCACGUGGUGCGGCUCCACGAGAUCCUCGGCACCCGGAAGAAGGUCCACUUCGUCCUUGACCUGGCCUCCGGCGGCGAGCUCUUCUCCCUCGUGGACGCCUCCGGCCGCAUGGCGGAGCCCCUGGCCAGGCGCUACUUCCAGCAGCUGAUCUCCGCCGUCCGCUACUGCCACUCCCGGGGCGUCUUCCACCGCGACAUCAAGCCCGAGAACCUCCUCCUCGACGCCAAUGGCAGCCUCAAGGUCGCCGACUUCGGCCUCGGCACAAUAAUCUCCCCCAAUCACUCCAAUCCCCCCCAACAACAACAACACACGCUGUGCGGCACCCCGGCGUACGUGGCGCCGGAGAUCCUGGCGAAGCAAGGGUACGACCCGGCCAAGGUGGACCUCUGGUCCUGCGGCGUGGUGCUCUUCGUGCUCGCCGCCGGCUACCUGCCCUUCAACGACGCCAGCCUCGUCAACAUGUACCGCAAGAUCUACGCGGGCCGGUUCCGGUGCCCGCCGUGGUUCUCGCGGGAGCUCCGCGACCUGCUCCGCAGAAUCCUCGACCCGAACCCGGCCACCCGGGUCAGCGCCGACGGGAUCCUGUCCCACCCCUGGUUCCGCGGCGGGGCUAGCGAGGGCGAGCUCGCGGAUCUGAUGCGGGACGAAGACGAGGAAGAAGAGUUCAAGGAAGAGGAAGACAUGAUGGGCCGGGAGAUGACGGCGUUCGACAUCCUGGGCUUCUCGCCGGGGUCGGAUUUGUCGGGGAUGUUCGGGGCCGGGCCGGGCCGGGAGAGGGUGUUCGUGGGCGAGCCCGCGGCGAAGGUGAUGGGACGGGUGGAGGAGGUUGGGAGGAAGGCGGGGUUCCAAGUGAGGAAGAAGGAAGGGAAGGCUGGCAAUGGCGGCGGCGGUGGGGUGGUGUUCGUGGAGUCCGGUAAUGGCGGCGUUGUGGCGAAGGUGAUAGUGUUUAGGAUUGCGGAGGAGGUGUCCGUGGUGGAGGUGGCUAAAGGCCAUGGCGAUGAGGCCGCGAGGUUCUGGAAGGAGUGGCUCGAGCCGGCCAUGAAGGCCCCGGCGGCAGCGCUCUGAUGAGAGAGCUGCCGCCGAGGGGUGAGCCGGGCACGGCGCGUGCGUUGCGUCGCGUUGCGUUGCGUGCUUCUAAAAUUGAGAGAGAAAAAGAUGAUUGUUUUUGGUUCAGUGUUGGUUGGAACUUGGCAGUGUGAUGAACUGAUGACGCUGCUGAUUUGGGUUCUUUCGCGUUUUCUCUUGUUCUGGCCCGUGUUAAUGUGACUGCCACAUUGACUGAUGAUGCCAGCACCUCGGGCUACCUGUACAAAUGCAUCAUUUAUGAUGAUGCGAAGAAAUCCAUUGCCAACUGGAGACCACAAAAAAAAAAUCGUCGUCGUCAGCUGAAACGCAGAUUUUAGUUCCCCUUUUUUUUGCCGGGGCCUACGCGCCGGAGUCAACCAUAGUGUCUGUCGGAGCUUAAGCAAGAUCGACUCGAUAUGAUUUUCUACUCCAGCGUACAGUAUCGAUGUUUUGGACGCGUCGCCAGCGGAGUUUUACGGGGCCGGCCAACCAUGGAAUACUCAUACGGAUCCUUCCGUAUCCCUUGUACAGUUCCGUCCCUAGCAUAUGGCACGGCACGGCGGCUCUCUCCCAACGGGCCACCGGCCACCUAACGUUAUUUUGUCGUUGCCUUGUCUUCUCCGUCAUAUCAUACGCCGGUGGGUGAUAACCAUGGCAAGCAGCACGGUGCCGCGUAGUCUGUGUGCAUAUAGGCGAGCUGCGAGAUCUGAUCUGAUCUGAACACUGGAUGGAUGCACCAAACCUCUGGAUUAUGAUAGCACCGGUGGCCUACCAAGAUAAGGAGUAGGGGGUCGAUCGAUCACUCCUCAUUUUCCGUUUGGUCCGUCCUACAGGCCGCUGAUACCCAUCAGACCCAUGCUGAGAUCUUCUCACCGAUUGACUGACGCCAUGUGCUCCGGUCGUCCUUGGUGGUCCAAAUUCCCAAAUCCUGUCAAUCUAAACCACCUAGAAAGAAUGAAAAAGAAAAAGAAAGAAGAAGCUUGGCUCUGCUGAGCCGUGACGCGGCUCAGGAGUCAGGACCGGCAAGCCAACGCCGCCUUCGUUGCCAUUGUUUCCAUGGCUCCGGUGCCGUCGGGACAAGCGCAAGAGUACUGUACUACUACGUGUUUGGUGCCGUGCACGCUGGUGUCUCGAACCGCGACGGCGAGCGGAUAACCGUGGCAAUCGGUCAGAAAAACAGGCGAAUCGGCUGCUACAACCCUUUUGGAACACUGCAUUUUCCCGGCGGAUUUCACCCACAGGAAUGCACAGGAUGAUGGGACACGACGAGACGGGCGCGAUGCUAACCUGGGUCGAUGGGUCUGUUUGCGUGGAAAAAGGGGCCGAGGACACCCAUUUGGAACGGACCCCCAAGUUGCUACGUCUUCGACACAUGUUCCGUGCACAGGCAAGUUCUAUCCCCCCCCAACAACUGCCUGUACAGGAAUAACUGAACACACUCUGUGAAUCACCAGAAUCCAAAAACUGACGUCCCAGUCGACCACAAAUACCAUCCCCAGGAUUUAUUUAAAUCGUCCUCGAAGUGGACAGAAAGUGAUCCUGCGUGCACCACAACGAAGGAAUGCGACCGGCCUGUUCCAGACAAAAAUCCAAAAACACAACAAUACAACCAAAAUCAGAAGAAAAACAUGUUACACAGAACUAGCUAGUGGUUCUCAGGCCGGCCAUCGAUUAGCCACUGACACAAACAUAGGACAGAGAUAAAACUUGGACUUACCGGUCUUUAUAUUUACAGUUAGUUGCUGGCCACAAGAUCUUCAUCUGUGCGGUGGCGGUGUCCUCUGUGGCAGCAUUAUUGCUGUACUGUAAUCGUAUAGCGCUGUGUCCUUAUCAAUCGGCCACCUCACGUCUCAUAAUUGGGCGUGAAAUGACGACCGCUCGAGACAUUGCUCGCUUCCCUUUUUUACUCAAUCAUUGCAACGUGCACCCACAUGCUCCAACAGUACAAUGAUUAGAAGAAGAAGAAGCGAAUUGAACCCACUGAUCGAGUGAUGGAUGAUAGUGCUGACGAACUUGCAAGAGUGGGGGUUUGUGUUAUUUUGGAUCUUCUUCUUGGGUGUGAGUAGUUCUCUUCUUCUUUUUAGCCGUUGUGAUGUACUCCCUCUAUUUCACAAAAAAUGACACGCACGCACUUCAAGAUUUUGUUUUGACCGACAAUUAGACUAAUGAUUUGAGGCUUAUGUGUUACAAAAAUUAUAUCAUUGGAUUCGUAUUUCAAAAACCUUUCCAACGAUAUAAAAUUUGUAACAUAUAAUCUACAUACAAUUGGUCUAAUCAUUGGUCAAAGUUCGAUCUCGAAAAACGUGGGCGCCAUUCUUUGUGAAAUGGAGGGAGGAACUCAUCAGUCACCGUUGUUUCAUGUCAUGACUGGCCACGGAGGAAAAUAUGUAUGUACGGUAGCUUGUGUUCUGAAGAGGAGCUUGUGUUUUUUAGAUGAAAAGAAAGCUGGUCUGUGAAGUAACAACAGACUGAUCUUGAGUUGUCUGUACACGACUUCGAUGUGUAUAUAAUACGAGUUGAUUGGCCCUGCUGACAUCCAAGAUGCGAACAGAACAGUUUACUACUGAAAGGGAAAAUCCAACUAACUUAGACAGGCUUCUAGACUGCAUCCAAGGAAGAAGAAGAAGAACUGAAUAACGUCGUUAGUGAAAUGUGCAAAAUAUGGUGUAUAAUCCUAACAAAUCUUGCUCUCUGUCAGUGAUAAGAAAAGGGCACCAGUUCAUAGUCAUACUCAGCCAAAAAUUGACAUUUUCUUCUGAACCCCAGCUCCAAAUGUAUCAUAUAGCGCUGUCUCCUUAUCAAUCAACGUGCCACCUCACCUCUCGUGAAAUGAUCUUGGACAUUUUCUACUGAACCCCAGCUCCAUUCGAGCCAUAUACUGCCCUGCUUUCAAGUUUCAACCCUCCUCAUUACUCCGUACCAAUUUCUUACUCAAUUAUUGCAACGUGCAUCCACAUUCCCAUCAGGUGAUGCUGCUGCUGACGAACUUGGAUUGGAGAAGCCUAACAUUAUACCUCACUGACCUCGACAGUGUUAAUUAGCAGUAGUAUUAUAUCUUAACCCCGUAUAUAUGUAAACAACGCGUGGCGCCAUGUGAUGGGACGCAUCAGCGACCCUUGUUUCAUGAUUGGUGUUUUUUAUAUCCAAGGGAAGAGAAGUACAGGAUACUCUUAACUAAAACAAUGCUGUCAGUGACAACAGGCUAACAAUUCUUGCAUAAAUCCAGUCAGUCAGACACACCAACGAGUCUAAUAAUCUAUGCCAUUCGAUUCCAUCUGGAGUACGUGCGUAGCUCUUGCUCUGAAAGAGAGCAAGAAAGGCAUAUCAGCAAUGCUCAAUUGAGAUUAAUUCCAUGCCAUUCGGCGUCUGUCAGGGCUGCGCUUCUGAUGUGUGGCCGGCCGGCAAACAUCAGCUUAACCAGCCAUUGUUAUGUGGCGACUGACUGCCUGACUGGCGCUAUGACAGCGGCCUAAUUGAGCUCCCGACAAGACAGUUCUCGGCCCUGUGAGAGUCAUAUCGCACGGCACGGCUGCUGACGGGUCUCCGUCAAGCCAAGCAGACGAUGUGUAUGUAUAAGCAGCACGGCAUAUUCUGCGACGAGAUAUGCUCGCGCUGUGAUACUACUACAGAUGCAGAUAAGAUAAUGUUUACGCGACAAUGACGUACCGCGUACGUGAUGGGAAGCAGCGGUAGCUGCCCAUGUGAUGAACGAGAUGGACAGGACUAGACGAAUUCGAACACAGCUUGUGAGUAAUUAACUUGACGGCUCAUUUGACGCCGCCAUGAACGCAUAUUAUGCAUUGAUUGGCCAGCAUCAAGGUAUGACAGCCACACAAAGGAAGAAGAAGAAGAAGAAGACGAAUUGUGGACGCAAAUGGGCGCGUUUAAACUUUAAACCGGACAGUGACUUGUGUGUCCACCGUACGUACAAGAUGGUAACUUAACUAGCCCAGCUGGAAAGGAAAGCGAAGUGAAAGGAAAGAAGAGCCGUGUGCUAGUGAUAAUGCGGCGGCCGUAUCAUUCGGAUAGAUCGAGAUUCCUACCGGGCUAUCAAAAACUGUCUGUCACCAACCAUCUGAAGGAGAAACGAUGGUGGUACUGCUGCCGGUUUGCCAGCCAGCCAGGCAUGCAGAUGCAGGCGUGUACGUACGUACGGGCACAGCUCAUAUGAUCAGUCACUUGCAUGUGGUGUUCAUUUAUCAGGUGAAACUCGGUCGGAGGGAUCAGGAGCGUCUGUAUGUACCGAUCACAUGAACACAUGGUGACGGGGCGGAGGGAUCACCUGCCUAAUAAUUGGUUAGGCGCGUCCGGAAACUCGGAACUGUUGUGAUGGAUCGUCUGCAUGCGGAUCCAAUCAACGGAAUUAUAAUAUGGAGUACUGGUUAUAGUAAUCCCUGCAAUGAUUUAGGUGCAGAUCGGCGGCUGCAGUUACAAUGUACGUGCUACCGUCCUGACGAAAUAUUACACGUAUAUAAACGUUUUUUGAAUAUAGAUAAAUUCAUAUUUGAACAAAUUUGAGUCGCUUGUGCCAUUAACUUGACCUCACGGAGUUCGUGAUGGACUCAGGCACACCGUCCGUCUGCGUCCGGUGAGUCUGCGAAUAAACCGUGGUAGUUUCAUCGUUCUGAAUUUUUUUUUCAACCCGGUAUCUCCUCCCUUUCCAUUUUUAACAUAACGAAAAUACAAAAUUGUUCUGAAAUUUUUGCCGAAAAUGACACCAGGGUGCACCAGGAAAUUGAGCCGGUGCAGGUUGUGCGCAAAGUGACGCCGGGACGGGCUUCGCGUUCGCGGGGUCUGCUGUUCAUGGGCCACGGUCCACGGUCCAAACGCUCACGCGCAGCGCAUCCCGUCGUAGCCAAACUGCGGGCCUGCACGCGGUGCAGAGUGCAGAUAGUAGGCCGGCUCAGAUAAUACUCCGAGAGAAAAGGAAGAUGAGGGCCCAUCCGAGCGUGUCCAGGCCCACGCAAAGUCAAAUGCUCAAUCGGUAAUGGGAGGAGCACCCGCCAGUGGAGGGCCCGAGGCUUUUUGGGCGUGGCCUGGGCUCGUACUCCACCAACAGAAACACCUCGCCGAAGUGAUAGGAUGGCCCAGGUGCUUCACGCGUCGCGUCCCACGCAGCUCAUAGGACGCAGGCCCUUGCAGGUGCUCGCCGAAUCGCGGCCCACGCAGCUCAUAGUAUGCAUUGCAGGCCCUUGCUUGCGGGCGCACCGCAAAUCGCUGGCCUUUCUUGCAAACAGAAAAACUCUUCUUGGGUGCUUCAGACGAUGAAUCUGCACAAGCUACAGUUAACGAAGAUGCUGUUCACUGGAGGAACGUGUGGGUUAGUUAAUCUCAAUAGCGUCUGGUUUCGGUUGUAUGCUGCCGACUACUGGUAUCUGUAAUGAACAGCGGGUUGGGUGGUGUUUUUUGUGCUGAGAAGCUGCUGCCCCCAGCAUAACUAGUUCAAAUAAUCCCCUAAACCGACAAAGUCCUUCUCAUUUCCCAUCACACUCGAGGUCCCUCUUGCUCUGUUUGCCUGAACGGAAAGCAACAGGGAGGUACAAUUAUUGCAGGGGCCCUCGCAACAGACUGCAAGUGCGAGUGCCCUUUCCUGAAGCCACUGAUGAAUGAAUGGUGGUGAUGAUAAUACACCUUCACCAUCUCUUCUACACACACCGACGAGUCUUUGUUUGCUUGCCGGGCCCGGGCGAGCUGCGUGAGCACAAUGCAUGGCCAAGUUGUGCUAACUUAAUCAUUCUUCAGUCCGUGUGCUGCAUCCAUCAGUCCGGUUUGAGUGAAGAAUAUUCUUGAAUUUCCUGUUGAGGUUAAGGUUUGGAGCAGGUUUCAGUCCUUCUCAUCACAGGGCAAUGACAAGCUGAUAGAGUGAGAUUGGUGAGAAAUGAAUAUCAAGUAGUAGGAGUAUAAGAUAGGAGUAUGUUCUUCGUGCUACAGACUGCUUUCCUCGUCCCAUCUUUGUCUCUGUUUCCAAGUAAAAAAAUAGAACAGAUCAAUUGUUGCCGAACUCUCUCAAGUAAAACUCGCCAAAGCCUUAGUGGAUUAAAAUGAGCCACUUGCCAAGUUGUUCAGGACUUCAAGUUCAUCGCGAGGGCGCACAAAAACACACACCUACCGAUCAUCAUCAAUGAUUCAGUUAGGUGCAUGGAAUUCUGGACCAUCAUCACAAGACUACAGGAGUAGGGGGUGAAUCAACUACCACAGUCUACAGCGACGCAAGAAUCUCUGCCCUCAGGUGCUUGGCCUAUAGUCUGGAUGUUAGCAUCUCGCUAAGUGCUUAAUAUACAAUAUUAUAGCUGUAAAAUGAGACUACUUCCUACCCUCCCCCAUGAUAUCUGCAAGUGCCUAAAGAGAACAAAAGCAUUGCAUUACUUCUGGGCCACACCAAUAGCUGUCUAAAGAAACAUAUCCUUUUGGCUUUUAGGCAAAGAGUUGUUGCUACCAUCCAACAAGGUUUUGUAAUGAUAUCUUCUAGAGCUGUAGAUCAGAGGGGAGGAGGAUACAAUCAUGAUGCAGGUCAAAGAUAAAUUUUUAACAUGGUGAACUUCAAUUCUUGAGUAGAACAUAACAUAAUGUAAACAGGUUUUCCUUGAGAUAUUUUGCAGUCAAGACUUAUCAUCUCUCCUGAGGAGGUGAAAAAAAAAGCAUGCUUUCAAAUAAAUCUUCAUCUGAAGAUGCCAGAGAAGUUUAUAUUGACAUUACAAGGGGAAUGGAAACGAAUAACGAACAACGAACAACGAACGAUGGAAACUACAGAGAUACAUGAACGAUUGUAGAUAGCCUCAAAUUACAAAAUGUUGCACUUGUCACGGUUUCAACAUUGUUGCUGCGGCUGCGGCUGCUUGGGUUGCUCACCUUGCCAAGCCCAGACUAUGUCCUUCAGUGCUGGCCUCAUCUCUUGGUUCAGCACCUUCUGGUACUCCAGAGUAUCACCAUUUGCCUUUUUCAGCUCCACAAGAUGAAAGCUAGGGGUAACCUCGAAUAUCUCAGCAUCAAUGCUCAUAACACCUUUCCUUCCUGGUUUGGAACCUUCCAUCUUCAACAGUCCACCGUCUUUCUUGGUGAGCUUUAGUCGCAAGGACUUCGCAGUGUCCUCAAUCUUCGAUAAGAUAGUUGAAGCUGUGCUGGUGGAUGUGAACUUGGACUCGCUCUUCUUGUCAGGCUCCUCAAACAAACCAGAGAGGUCGAGUCCAGUUGAAAGGGAAAUUAUAUCAAAAGCAUUCAAGUUGGUGGGCUUCUUUUCUUCUUGCAGCUUGCCCUCCAUCAUUGCUUCAGAAGCCAGGCUCAUGUCAACAGGAACUGCAUCCUUUGCUUGUAAAUUAUACCUGAGCAGCUUUGCAUCUAGACCCUUCCUGAACCAAGGAUUUUCCAUGAUUUUUUCAAUUGAGAUCCUUGUGCUGGGGUUAGGAUCUAGAAUCCUUAGCAGAAGCCUUCGAAUAUCUGUUGAGAACCAACUUGGGCAUUUGAAUUCUGCCUUCCCAAUCUUCUUAUACAUAUUCAUCAGAUUCUUAUCAUGGAAUGGGAGUUGCCCAGCCAAAAGCACAAAGAGGAUCACCCCGCAAGACCAUAUGUCAGCCUUUGCGCCAUCAUAGCCUUUUCUAUUGAUUACUUCUGGAGCAACAUAAGCAGGCGUGCCGCAGGAUGUAUGGAGCAUCCCAUCAUGCCUUCUACAUUCAGAAAUAGUACUUAGACCGAAAUCUGAAACUUUCAGAUUGCUGUGCUCAUCAAGAAGAAGGUUUUCUGGCUUCAGAUCACGGUGAUAGACGCCCCUGCUGUGACAAAAGUCAACUGCGCAGAUCAGCUGUUGGAAGUACUUCCUUGCAGCAUCUUCCUUGAGUCUUCCUCUUUGGACUUUGUUAAACAGCUCGCCACCCUUCACGUGCUCCAACACAAAGUAUAUCUUCGUUUUGGUAGCCAUAACCUCAUACAUCUGAACAAUGUUUGGAUGCUUCACCAACUUCAUCACAGAAAUCUCUCUUUUGAUCUGAUCAGUGAGACCACCCUUCAAAACCUUCUCUUUGUCAGUCACCUUGAUGGCAACACUCUGCGAGGUCUGAAUAUUACGGGCAUGAUAAACCUUGGCAAAGGUCCCUUGCCCAAGCAUCUUCCCCAUCUCGUACUUCUGCAUCAGAAUAUUUCCCUUCUGCUCUACCAUCUUGCCAGAUAUAUGCUAUGCACACAGAGAAGCAGUGAUCCCGAACCUUCAAGGAGCCUGCAAGCGCUAGAUGACCUUCAACCGUCACCUCCGAGAUGGUAAUCUAAGAAGAUGGUUGAGAUGCGACGUCGAACCCCAUCGUGCGAAAGCACAUGGAACAAGAGGUGUGUAUGUUCUUGUGAACCAAUGUCAUCAAGGUCAAUCAAAGCAGAAACACGGGUGGCUACCCUGCCAAUUGCCUCGCAAGGUAGUUCUCUAGCAUGCAAACACAUCUUUCUGCAUUCCCUAAGAUGUUUCCUUCUUGAUGGAAGACUUGUACUGCCAAGAAGAAAAAACACAACGUUAGUCAUAGAGCUACUUGGGAGCGAAAACAAAUCAGACAAAAAUUAGACGCAUGAUUUUAGGCAACAGAAAAAAAAGUUAUCUUCCACAAACACGACCAAGAACAGAUAUGUUCCUCUCAAUCUCUCGUGGUAGAAUUAUUGUGCCUUCCCGGCCAGAAAGGAACAUGUUUAACAGCCCAAUCAACCACUUCCCCCGCAGACACGUGCAAUACCAAAAGCCCUCCUAAAUUUCUCACAACCAAUAAUCAUGGAAAGACCCAUCUAAGAUCUAACCACUGAGUAUAACAGAACGGUAAAAAAAAGACUGGAUCUUCCUCUAAAUCUAAGAAUCUACGGAUCUCGCCAAUAAGGAAUUAAGCUUUGCACAGGCACACGAUCCAGGCACACCACACAAACUACAAUUCCGCCAUAAAAAAGAACAAUUUAACAAAACAAAACAGCAGAAAAGAGUCUGUACCAGAUCCCGGCGGCGGCUGGGGCGAACUGACGAGCAGGCGGCCUGGAAACCGCACCAGACGGCGCUAGGCCAGAUCCCUUCCUUCCUCCGCCUCCUCGAAGAAGAACAAAACCCGCAAGGAUCCGCGAACCGCUCGACCAGGGAACAACAGAUCGCGAUGAAGGGAAGGAGAAAGGAACAAGGAAUCGAGUUUCGCCUUCGAGUUCUUGGGUGUGGGCGAGGAGGCGAUGAUGAUAAGAGAAGAGGAGAGUGUUGUUCUUGCAGCGAGAGGAGAAGGUCGCGAGGCGGCUCUUUCUUAUACGCGGGCCGCCGUCGAGAUAACCCACCUACCGCAGGCCGUGGGCCGCUCAAAUUAACAAUCUACUACCACCCCUGCCAAGCAGGGCCCACCAAUAAUUCUAGUGACGUUGCCCUCGUGGCCUUUGCCGAUGGACGGACUGGAUCGCUCCGCUCUCUUGCUUCCUGCCUGCUUCCGCCGUCCGUUUCAAUUUGCUGCUAGUACCAAAUCGACUUUUGGCUUUGUUUCUUUACCCGGCUUACACAAUGGAACCAAUAAUAACGGCCCUAAUUAAGCAUGUGUAAUUCGCUGGCGCUCGUAAUGACCAUACUAAUAUGAUGACGUUGGGUAGGGCGGCGAGCAGAAUGGAAACCGGAAUCUAUCUACGUUUUGCACCCACGUGACAGAUGAACGGCCAGAGAAACAUGAAUUGGUCUACUCUUCGGUUUGUUUGGCCUUUGGGCAGCUAGCUAUAGCCAGCCAUGUGCAGAUCAGCUAGCUCUUUGCCGGUGCUCGAUGUGUGUAGAAAACAAAGCCAAGAAGAAACCAAAACAAAACACGGCGCCUCUCUAGCUAGUCUCUCUAGCCAGCAAAGCUGUUAAAAGCCUCCCGACUUUGCUCUUGUUUUGUUCAUUUUUCUGGGGGGGGGGGGGGGGGGGGGGAGUAUGAUUAGGCGGAAAUUUCUUAGCAUGUCAUGAUCAGGACUAGAUCAGGACUAGUAGUAGCAUCGUAAAGGUGUGAGUUUUUGCUUAGAAUAGUCGCAUUAUUAUUUUGGUGCUAUUUCGAUUCCCUUGGAGCCUAGCAACACAGUACCUGAAUGCCAUCAAAGAUUCAAGAGGCGUGUCCUGGAUUCAUGCAUGUGUUGUGUUUGCUCAUUCAUUCUGUCUCCAUGAAACUCUUCCGACAAACAUCAAAUAAUUAACACUGUAGUGAAUACCCUUUUUAUGUUUGAUUAGCAAGUGUCGUACUAGUUUAGAAUAUCUUGGGGACGCAGGAUAAUAAUGCCGGAUUCCGUUUCAACAAUAUGUUAGCACGAAUUAUGAAGGUUUAGACAAAUAGUAUCACAUCAUCAGUGGGGUCAGGGGACAGACCAGCUACUGCAACUGCAGCUAGAGUAGAGUGGCUAGUUUGUUUGCUUUUUUGGAGAGCCAAUUGUUGGGCAUGCACGCAAUGUGUGAUGAGCCGAGAUGUUCUCGAUCUCUUAUUUCUUUACACCUGUCGUCCACCUGUUGGUUGUCUCAAGCCCGGAGCUCGCCACGUCACAUCUUAAUUGUUUCGGCGUGUACCUAAAAUGAAUGUGCCCCCGAUGGAGGCGUUUGUGAGAGAAAUGGUUACAAGGGUUGCAUCGAGCAUCUCCUCUUUACCUUGUCAGACGAGGCGUGACAUCAGAAUUUUGUUCAGAUGACAUGCUUUAGAUACAGUACUCUAGUUAGCUAACGCCUUAUAAUUGAGUACGUACCUACGUCGAGUUGCUCGUCCUGACCGGCCUCCCGGGACUGACUACACGGUACUCUCCCCCGAUUCAUAAAAAUUGUUGGUCAUUUUAUACUAAGUUUUGUAUUAAACGAGACAUAAGUAAUUUUUUAUGCAUUAGAGGGAAUACAAACGUGUACCGUGCCGGACCACCGGUGUACAUGUGUACAGAGUUUGAGGUGGCACGUCGGUUCUUGGCACCGGCAGCAACACGCUAGCAGACUAGCAUGAUGGAGGUGAACAGUACUAGUCCAAAUUGCUCCCCUAUGUAUCGAUCGAUCAGCGGUUGCCGUGGGGGCUCGAUUAAUUUCUUGUACGCUAGUAGCUCUCUUCACCCGAUCGAGGGCCGGUUGCCAAAGCCGUCACGACUAGUCCAUCGGUCGUCCAUGGGUAACCAACCAGCCAGGCUUCCUGGGACAGCAGCAGAUGUCAGAUGAGGCCGAUGUUCCCAGGGAAAUUAAAUGGCAUGUUCAAGCCGUCUAUUAUUGUGGCAUACACCCGAAACGUACGCACGCACGUACAUCGUCUGGUGCCGUGUGUCCGUGAUAAUAGAGGCCGGAAACUAAUCAUCUGUACUACCUGUAUAGUGUGCAUGCACGCAAGUGUGUAAAUUGUAAAGCAUUGAUCUUCCGAGACACGUCGGGCCGCCUCCCACGAGGGCUUGCGUAUGCAACCGGCCGUGUGAUCAAUCGAGCAACGCUGAAACCGGCAUGUGUGCAGAAGAACUUACUCUUUCCGUUCCAUAUUAAGCGACGAAAUAUCUUUUAGAUAUAAAUGUAUUUAUAUUUGGGUAAAUUUGAGUAACAGGUAUGUGAGGACGGGACUACUUAUCAUGGACAACGUUGCUAGAAAAAAUGUUGAUGACAAAUGUUACUGCUAACUUGAGAUUGCUGACUGCGCGUAAUGUUACUGAGAUCCGAAUUAGUUUUCGGAGGUUUUCGGUCAAAGUACAUCCUGUGAAAACGAAAGACCGGCCGGCGUGCAUGAAAGGGUGUUAAUCGUGCAUGUCCCUCAUCCCCUUCGUACGGGUUUUGCGAAUACAUAGACGAACGGACAGGGUGCGCCGUGCGUACGUUGCCGCAGGUUUUGCUUGGAUUUCCUUUCACUUUCACGGCGCUAACUCGAUCGGGCGAUGGACGCAACACCACGAAAGAGAUACGCAUAAUAGAUCUAAAGAUAAUCCACCGAAUCAUUCUAGUCGUCACCAAAGAAUGGGACGCGCCAAACCACACACCACCCGCAUAUGCCCAGAAGCUAGCAGAAGUCUCUCUUCGUUAAUAAACGCAUGGAAUUUCCCUUUUGGGUUUUAACUCUCUACUGCUCUACACGCCCGCAGCUGUCAAUCUGCAAGGUUAAUUUUAACUCUCGGUCCAGGUGAAGAACAUCUCGACCCGUUGGAUGCACAUUCAUUGGACCGACCGAUCGAUCAUGUGCGUGCGUGCAAUACUGUUCAUUCAUUCGAGACACAACCAUCUGGAUCCGAAUAUACGGUUCCCGGAACGCAUGAUUAUGGACGGCGUGUGCAUCUAUGUAUAAUGUAAUGUCUUUCAUUGGCACAGCCGGCCGGCAGUGAUAAGUUAUUUAACCUUAACCUGGAGCUCGCACACCACUUGUUGGCCUUGACUACUAGCAUGUGUUUUUCUUUCUCUUCCUCCAACCUCCAUGCUCCAUCACAUGUUUGACAUAUACAUAUACCAUUAAUUCAAUAUCUUCUCGUACCCAUUCCGUCUACCCGAUCCAUGCUAGCUUCCAUCCCUAAAUGCAGAGAUGGGCAGAACAGAGAUGGAAAGCUACUAGUAGUUCUAUAACCUUAACACUUAGCUAGCCAACAUUAGCUCGAAUUGUUGCUGUCAAAAGCUUUGGUUUCAAAGCAGAUACUCCAACAUCAUGUGCAGAUACCCCUGCCGCUGUCGCCGGCCGCUGCGAGCACAAGGAUGAGCAGCGAACGCUAGCCACAUCUUGCAUACUCUGGUUCUGUGGGGCCACGUGGGUCUGAGUACGUGGCAACGUUUGGUAAGCUGAUUCUGAUACCGUGGGCCCGGGCCCUAUCGCAGGUUGACACCUCGACUGUCCGUGUGGCGCCCCUGAGGCCGACCCUUCCACUCAUCAACAUCACACAUUUUCAGAAAUCACACCUCAUGUCCUGGCCAAGUAUUAUAUUCUGGUGUCAAGUUCGAUGCUAAUAAUAAAACUACUUAAAACAGUUGACAAAUUCAAAGAGAAUAUAUGGGUCAGGAUCACAGCAGCUUGUUCAUCUUGUUUUGUUCCUCGUUUUUCUCCAAGGAAAGUGCAGUGUGAUCUCUAUUUCGUCAGUCAAAAUAAUGGACGGCAUGCGUGAGAGUAAGUCUGUAUCACUGACCUCAGAUAGAUAUGUGCCUAGAUGCGGUGUUCCAGAAUUUCAGAAGCAGCAGGUCCAAGCCUUUCGCCGAAACUUCUGCACACUGCUUGCUGGUCCACCGAUGUUUGCUGCCAAAGCCAUUCCCUCCCUGCCAUAGAAUAAGAUUACGAAACGGGGAGAGACCCUGUCAUUUUCAGCAGACUUGUUUAGACUAAUCGACUGGCCUAACCUUGCGUCAGCGACAACGGGAAUCAAAUUGAUGCGCCUAAUCAUGUUCGCGAAGGCUCUGUUUCCGGUUUUUCAAUUGGUACCUGUCUGAAUCAGCCAUUAAACUAUGCAAUUGGCUGGGGAAAUAUCUGCUUUACUUUUUGGUUUGCAUCGUUCAGCCCAAACACAGACAUGCACUGAGCUUUCACCGCAUGGUUUAAACAAGCCUUUGCUCAGAUGAUGUCACAGCCUACAAUGGAGUUGUCUUUGACUUGUAAGAAGCAUGCCAAGAAACUUAAUCUCUAUCUGAUGUUCUACAUAAACAUUCUAUUAACAUUUGCAUGCAGACAUCAGGGUAACCAGAAAAUACAUAUUAGCAGAAAACUUGCAUUGGAGAUAGCACUGCAAAUUCCCCCUCCCAAAAUAAAACGGAGCUCUGAAAAAUAUAGAGGAAAUGCACCGCAUAACCUUGUUGUUUAUAUCCAGAGCCACCAGCCAAAAGAACAUAGUGCCUUUCUGGUGCUUUCACCUGAAGCAAGCAACUUGCUAUGCUGAAACCAAACAGAGAUAAACAACUCCCCAUUGUCAUAAGUUGCUGCUAUAAUGAUUGAUUAAAAUAGGAAAGCUAAAAGGAAGUAGCCUCCUACCAAAACAACCAGCUCUUUAUUCCCUCCUUUCAUUCUGAAUAUGAUGGAGUACUAGCUCCAUAAUUGAGGUUGUUUAAUCCUACAUUUGUCCUAAUUAAGAGCUCUCAAGCAGCCAGUACUAACUGGAGAAGGCUCCUACUAGAAUAUUCCAUCAAGAAAUGAUCGUUUGCAUCCUGUAGUAUUAAGAGAUAAAGAACAAAAAAAUAGAUUCAGCAAGAACGUGCCCGUUUGUUCCUAAAGAAGGCUGGAAGUUUGGUGAGCAGUUGUUUCAGCCAAAUUAACAACUGAAAAAAUAUAGGCUUCUAAUAAUGCAUUUGUACAAGGAUGCCCAACUUAUUAUCAUACUCACAUGGUUUGUAACAAAAAAAAGUUAAAAACGAUUCUAAUAGCUAGAUUCACCCCAAAAUACAUGAUGAAAACAUAUUGUGAAUCAUCUCAAUGCUUGACCAGUACUCCGAUACCCUUUUCUCAAAAGAAAGAACGGAAUUGUACCGAUAAAUUUCUCAUGAUGGUUAUGUUUUGGCAAACCCUGUCAGAGGGUAGAGUGUUCAUUUAAUUUCAUUAAGAAUACGAGAAUUGUUCGGCUCACGAGGAAAACUGGGCCAAAAAACACAUAAACAGGUUUGAUCAACGAAACCGUGCAAAACCCUGGCAAUAGAGACUUUGCGGGGCGACCCACUUUGGCUCUCGAGAUCUAGUGCUCCCUAUAGUUAAAACUUCAUGAAAAUCAGUUUCAAAAAAAUCUGAUUUUUUUUGUAGUGUUAGUAUAGACAUAUACUACAUAUUUGUACAUUUUCGUGUAAAGAUAUAUUGAUUUGUGGUCUGUGCAAAAAUAACAAAUCCGGAAAUGUAUAAUGUAGCCAAAAAUCCACGUCACCUAGCUAAACUAGGGUGCUAAUUGUAAAAGAAACUUUGCGGGGCGAAUGUUGAUCCGUAACACCCAUGGCCAAGGGGUCGGAUAGCUAUGCUGCCAGAGGGAACCGAACCGGUUGGAAGUAGCUAGAGCUUUCAGUGGCCUCUUAGGUUGUGUUUGUUUGGGCUGGAGCUCCACAACUGCAGAUUCUACAGCUGCAGAUUUCAGAAUCAGCUGUGACUGCCAGCUGCAGCUGGAAGAUUGGACCUGAAAUGUGCUGAAAUGACCUGAAUGACCCUGUAGUUCUGUAGAUUUGGUAUUAGUGCUAACUGUAGUAUUUUACAUGUAAAUUAAUCCUUUUUUGUUGCGGAGUCUGCUUCUUCUGCUCCAUCAGACAAUAUGUACGCAUUAUAAUAAUUUUUUAGAACACAUUAUACCAUAGUAUAGUAAUAAUAUAUUAUCCACACAUCGUUUGCAAAAUAUAAGAUCAUCGUGAUAGUAAAUUAGUCUAACCUAUUACAAUCCUACUCUCUUGCGGCCAUCAGAGCAUCAGCAAUUCUAUCACGAGUUGCGUCCAUUGUGGCAUUGCUACUUCCCACAUAGCUCCCACCACUUGUGUUGACGACAUGGCCGGGAGGCAUGUAGUGCUCGUCAGCAUCGCAUCUAGCAAAGUGGUAAUCAUACAAAUUACUAUCUCGUAUGAAGUUGUGCAACGCCAUACAAGCAAUGAUAAUCCUUGCUUGCUUUCUCGGUGGGUAGCUAGGCACAACUUUCAACAUGCGCCAUCUUUGCUUCAAGACGGCAAAGCAUCGUUCUAUGACAUUUUUGAGUGAUGAAUGUAGAUAAUUGAAGACUUCCUUCCUACCACUUGCAGCAGUGCCAUGUUGAUACUCAGGUAGAUGGUACCUCGUGCCUCUAAAUGGUGCUAGAUAAUUGGGGUAUCCAGAAUCAACGAGAUAAAAUUUACCUGUACACAUGCAAGUGUGAGUCAAAAGAACAGACUAUAAAAUGUUUACUCGAGAGAGGCAAACAUAUGAGAAAAUUAUAGCUCUUGGAGGAUGAGGAAAUUUUUCUUUAUAUUUGUCCAAGGUAUCCUUGAAUAUCCUUGUGUCAUGUGCCGAACCUGGCCAUCCAGCCACGACCGAGAUGAAUCUCAUGUCAAAGUCACAUACGCCCAUAACAUUCUGUGUUGCAUAACCAGCUCGACCAACAUGGUUAACCGCGUCUUUGACAGGCACGAUAACAGGUACAUGCAUACCGUCAAUAGCAACAAUGCAAUUGUUGAAGUGAGGAUAAAACCGUGAGCUCUGCAAUCUCUCAUGCACAUUUUUGAAUUGGAAUCAACUGGUCUAAUGAUGUCUGCAGUUAAUAAAUUCAAACACUUCAACACAUGGAGCGGCUUCAACAAUCCCAAACAAACGGACCCUUAAUCUGUUCCCUGAUUCCAUCUCUUUUUUUUUUUGAGCGAACCCCGAUUCCAUCUGGUGCCUGCCUUUUUUUUAGCGAAUCUGUUGGCUGCCUGUUUCCUCUCAGGUUGAUUGGUUCUGUGUUUUUUUAGAGAUCACAGUGCCAAUUUAAGACUGGGCUCCUGGGCUCACGGGCUCAUGUCCGUCUCCUUCUGUUUGUAUGGGCUUUCGAUUAAGACCGGGCUCCUCUUAAAAAAACCCGAUCAGGCCUCCAUUUCAGAUCAUCACAUCAAGUUAACACCGGCCUGGCCUGGCCAGCCCAAUCAAAACAAGAAGCCCAUAAUGAAUGGGCUUAUUGUACAAUCACUAUGAGAGUUUACAGCCCGUGGUCAUAGCACGUAGACCAUGCCGACCUCGAGCAGCGACGCCGGCGGCACCCGGAGCACGACGUCCACCCCGCGGCAGUUCCGCCGCAAGAAGUUGUACCCGUACCCGAUCGCCACCCUCCUCACCACCGACGACCCGUGCUUCGCCUUCACGUGCGAGCUCCCCAUGAUGAACGCCGUCCCGGCCUCCCUCGCCUCCCACAGCUCCCGCAGCUCCUCCCCCACCAUCCGCUCCUCCUCCGUCUCGCCGCCACGGCCAUGGCGGGGGCUCUCCACCAGGAACCUCACCUUCUUCACCGCAGCCGGGCUCUCCACGCGGAUCUCCACCGACGCCGCCCCGUCAUGGCCAUCCUCGAAGCUGAUCCGCCUCCCCCUCUGCCUCAGAGGAUUACUGCCGAUCACCGUGAGUGCGUUCUGCCUCUCGUAACCCCCGCCGGCGUCUUCGUCCCCAGCUCCGGCGGCCUCGCUGGACCGGACAAGCGCGUCGAGCCGGAUAAACGCCGCGAGGCUCUCCACGAGCUCCGUCUCGAAGGAAUCCACGUCCUGGUGGACAUCCCUGUACCCGUACCUCACGAUGCAGCGGUACGAUCCAUGGCCCGGCGGGCCGACCCGGCCGACGAGGUACCGCUCCGCCGCGGGCACCCUGGGCACGGGCACCCACUUUACGCAGACGAAGACGAGCACGCGGUGGAACGCCGGGAGGUUGGUGACGAAGCGGGAGAAGUUCGCCGGCACGCCGGCGGUGAGGUCCGUGUACACGAGCCCGAUCCCCGGCACGCGCACCAUGCCCAGCUUGUCGCAGAGCGCCAGCAGCCACUCCAGGGUCACCUUGUUGUGGAGGUCGAAGGAGUAUUUGGCGAUGGUGGUGUGGUGCCAGAUGAACAUGACGGCGACGAGGAUGAGAGCGAGCAGGAUGGGGAGCCAUGCGCCUUCCCGGAACUUGAUCAGCGACGCCGAGAAGUAGAGCGCCUCGACGGAGCCGAAGAAGACGAAGAAGGCGAGCGCCAGGAUUGGCGGCCGGUGCCAGCAUAGCAUCAUCACUAGAGACGUCAGGCACGUCGUCACCAGCAUCACCGUGAUCACCGCCAGCCCUUGAGUAAUUCACACGAAAUUAAGCUUCAGGAUAUGAUGAUUGGGAUUGAUUACUGAUCGAUCAGGGAGAAGGUAGCUUGGUGAUUGGAUUGAUUUUUACCGGAGGCGUUUCCCAUGUGCUUGGUGUCGCGGAAGCCAACGGUGACGGCGAUGCAAAGCACCAUGAGCAGCCAGUUGAUCUCCGGGAUGUAGAUCUGGCCGUGGAUCUUCUCGGAGGUGUGCACCACUUUCACUCUGGGGAAGCAGCUCAGGGACUGGCUCUGGUUGAUGAUGGAGAACGUGCCGCUGAUGAUCGCUUGGCUUCCUACAAUCGAUGCCAGGAUCGCCAGCAGCAGGACCGGCCACCUUACGACCGCUGAAAUUUCACAGAGAAGUUGGUUGUUUUUACUGAAUCAAAUGACAAAUGGUAAUCGGUAAAUGCAGAGCAGUUGGCAGCCUCUGUUUGGUAGCUGCUAUAAGGAUGGAUCAUCAGGCAGUACAAUGUCUUUACUGGAGAAGGAAUAUGUACCUGGAACUGAGACGUAGAAUCCUAUUUGGUUGCUUGAGUCGAAGUCAUGGUGUUUAGUUAAAUAAGCUGCUUGACCCAUGUAUCCCAAGAUCAGUGCAGGGUAAACCAAAGAAGUAAAAGCAAGCUGCAACAGCAAGAAGCAGGCUUAAGAUCUGCCGACAGUUUGCUGAACAUAACAGAAGUCAGACGUGAACUGAAAUGAUGGGUGAAUUUACCUGGAUUGCACUGUAGGAGAAGUGGCCAAGGUCUGCAAACAUUGCUUCAGACCCUGCAAUCCCAAACAUGUGAGACUGUUGAGUUACUCAUGGAAUUGAAAUUCCCCUGUGUAAUCGUGUUGACUGCUCUUGCAAAAUUCAAUUAUCCAUACUGAACCCUUUACCUGUCAUGCAAAGCAGAAUUCCUCCCAGGGACAUCCAGCCGGACUUCUUGGUCUUCUUCAAGAAUGUGAGCAUGUAAUUGGGGUUCAGUGCCUGGUAAACCUGAGGGUUCCAGUGGAUGAUGUUGUACACACCGAGCGCGCCCAUGCAGAGCAGCCAGGCUAGAAUUAUCGGAGCGAAGAGGAACCCGACGCGAUGGGUGCCGAAAUGCUGGAGAGCGAACAGGAAUACUAGUAUGGCGCAGGUUAUCGGAAUGACGGCGUCUGCAUGAAGCGAAGAAUAAGAAGAAAUGAGCACCUCAGGGCAAGUAAAAUGUCAGGGUACUGUAGUUGUAUGGUUAAGACCAGUAUAUUUCCAGUUAACAGUUCCAAUUAUUUUCUUCAGAUUCAGUUCGUGACAUAAAUUGCUAAAUUCAGUAAUGCGAGUGCUUGAGGUAGUCCUGAAUCCUGAUAAAGAGGUGCUAGAUAUUACUAACUGAAGCAGUACUGCUUUAGCAGUUUGUAAAGAUUUGUUUUUCUCCUUUGUCAUUCUCACAUUUAUGCAUUGUCAUUACACUCACAGAGCUGCCUAAACCUUUUCAAUUUUGCUAAGCUAUUGGUACCAUUGUUAGGUACUACUAUAUGGAUUAGCAGGGAGUCAUAACUCAUAAGUGUGUUCUUGUGAUCAGUGCAUACAAGGCCUAAAAAAUAUCUUCAAAUGCAAAAGGCUAUACUAGUUCAGAGUUCCAGACUAACAUUCAUGCUGAUCCUUGGACAAGGAGAGCUCGAGCCCUGAAACAGCCGAGAACACUGCAUUGCAACAGACAAAAACGACAUCAGAAACCCAAAAGGUAAGCACCUGCUCUGCUGCACAAUCCCUGAAGAACCAACUGACAAAAGCAUAUAACUGAAGCCUGAAGAUAUAAAGUGCUACAAAUAGUACUUACCAGAUAUGGCGGGCGUGAGGACGCCGUCGCCGAUGACCAUGCAGGUCCCGAUCAUGACCAUGACAAGCAACGCCGUCUUGAGGUUCCUAUGCCCCUCCAGCAGCUCCUUGAUGCGCGACCGCCCGGCGACCUCCGGCGAGCGCUCGAGCCUGUAGGUGGAGAGCUCCUCGUCGGCCACCUGCCUGUUGGGCAGCAGGCUGACGUCGGCGUGCCUGCAGAGGAGCGAGUAGAGCGCGAAGGUUCCGCCUUCGCCGUUGUCGUGGGCGCGGAGGACGAUGAAGACGUACUUGAGGAGCGUGACGAGGGUGAGCGUCCAGAAGACGAAGGAGAGCACGCCCAGGAUCUCCUCGUUGGUCUCCGAGUGCGUGAUGUCCUCCGCGAAGGUGCUCCGGUAGACGUACAGCGGCGAGAUGCUCAGGUCGCCGUACACCACCCCCAGGCUCUGGUACGCCAGCAACACCGUCGUCCGCCAUGAACUCUGCAUCAUAUUUGCUUCGGUUCAGAGUCUUCAGACAGGUGUUUGAUCAUUCCUGCCUUGCUGAUUUUGUAACUUCAUUAUGCUGGGAAUUUAAUGGCUCACCUUUCGGGUCUCCAUGGAAGAAACUCGCUAAGCUAGCCACUGAUCAGCGAUCAGCAGUACGCUGGAUAACCCUGGAAGGAACAACACUGUCAGAACUAACUAGCAGGCAGACACAGACGCGCCUCGAGACAAGCAAUAGCUGACAGACAAUGCGAGGACGCUACAGCACAACUAGAGAAUUGGGGAUAACGGAACCGAUAAAUUCGAGGAAGGGGAAAGCUAGAGCGAAGAGAACUAAGAUAGGAGCAGCACAUACAUACAUAUCCGCGAGCAAAGGAAAGUAAAAGAGAGGAAAAUAUGGUGGAGCCCUCGAGGGUUCACCAAUGGCAGAGACGAGGAGUGGCAGAGGCAAUAUAUAUCGGCACGUGUAGUAGUGGCCUGGUGGGGACUGAUCAAAACUAGCAGCAAGCAGCCAAACAAAACUCGACUAGUGCUCCUCUCUGCUCUCAGUGCUCACUCCUCUAGUCCCCUGUCCCUAACCGCAAAGAGACAAUCAAUCAAUCAAAAUUCCAUCGUUCAGAUAAAGUCGGCAGGCAAAUCAUGUCCGACGCGAAAGGCGAUGAUGAUUCAGACAACUGGGACAAAGGAAUGUGGACUCACUCUAGAGGCACAUUCUCACGGCACUCUGCCUUUUCUGCUUUCAGGAAUGCAGACCACCAGGCCAGUCCAGGACAGCCUCCCCUAGAUCACACCACUUCCUGUGUCUGCGUGUUAAUGGUGGGGCUCCAUGGCAUAUAUCUAUCAUGCAUUCAUUCAAGACAUGUCUAUUGUCUGCCGAUUUGCAGGACUUAUCCUAUUCGUCCGCAAAGCCGCGCAAGAUUUUGGGUGGCGAUGCCAAGCUAGCUAGCUAAAAGAUUCCUCACAGCUUUGGUACUAGACAGAUCUUUGAGAGUUUGGCAGGGGGGGCGACCGAUGGGUCCAAAUCGGUGACAGCUCUAACGAUCCUGAACCGAAAGCUUGCACUAUCCUUGCUCAAAUGCCAAACUACUGCUACUACUCCUGCUGCUGCUCCUCCGGCCUCUCCGUCAGAUCCAAACAUCUUUGUACGGUUCGUGCAGGAUCAAGUUACAGAAGAACCAAAAAAGGAGACACGCGCGAGCAGAUCAAUUGGGACUGAGUUUUCUGACUGACCUUUUUCCUGUCGCAACGAUCCAGCAGGUGUGGAUGAUGGAUGGAUGGAUGCAGGGAAAACGCUGCCCGGAAGAUCAAAGGAAGAAGAACUCCAGACAGCACUGGGUGGUUUAUUCUUCUUCUAGAACUCAGGGGAAUCUGAUCGAUCUGACGCCUCCCUCGCGACGUGUCACGCGACUCAAAAUCCCAAAUGUAUAAAAUAGUGGCAGUGCUGCUCUGAUCAGAUCGGCUGAUGCAACAGAAAACGGGAUCAGACGGCCGGCCACGCCUACACACUACACAGCAGAAAGCGAGUACCAAGAAGAACACAUGGGUCUCCUGUUAUUAUCCCCUCGUGGGUCUCGCAGUUACAUGAAAGAGAUGAGGGAUGCAACAUGGAAGAAGCGGAUCGUAUCCGCUGCGCCACUCACUAAAUAUUUGUUAAUAAUAAUCAGUGAGAUAUUAAUUAUGGGAUUAGAACGGUAGCCUGGCAAAGGGGGGAGUAGUAAAUGACAGCGCGCGUCGUCCGUUUCUUCCUUUUCAAAAUUACUGCUCCAGGAGUGGAGUAAUAUCCAAACCGCGGCGGCAGCCCUCGUGCGGCGGCGUUGGAACGUAGUAACGCUGUCUGCUGCCGCAGCAUCGGCGCCAUCGCGCUAAUGCGUGCCUCGAUCGCGACGGACAACAUCCGUGGAUGGAUCCAUCAACGUGGAGUGCCCCCCGGAACGAAGUCGAAGAUGACAAAAGGUGCAGAGGCCAGCUGCUUGCCGCGGACGGCGAAAGCCACUUGACAGACGGUCUGUUUCUUACUAUAAGCACCCGGCCGGCGGCGUUUCCCCGGUCCACGGCCAGUGACGGGACAAUUAACGGCGACGUAUAUGCGUGCCGGGCCCGGCAGGCAGGCGCGCGGCAUCGGCUCCUUGGACGCAAAAGCAAAGCUAAGAAAAUCGUGUGGCACGCUACGAGUCGAUCUGUUCUUCAUUCCCUCCACCAUUUUUACUUACUUAAAUCAGGCCGGCAGUCAGUCAGUCUGCACUGACGUCCACCUCUACACAAGCUCUGCGACUCUGCGUUCCCCCCGCUUCCGAUUUCCGGAGAAUCUCCACUGCAGAGUGCAGCAGCAGAGUUGCGUCAUUGCUUCUCGUGGUUAUUUGUCCUCUACACGCACUGUACAACUCAGUUUAAACAUCUGAUUUGGUAGUCGCGAGUUCACUGCAACAAAACUAUCUCUUAAAGAAUCGUCUAAUUGCCACUCAUUCUAUACGUGUCACGAUCUUUUGGCUAUACUUGAUUGGUUUUCAUGACUUUCAAAAAUAAUUGUAUUUUUAAAAAAUAAUAUUUUAACAUAAUUAUUAUUUAUCAGAAAUUUUUAAAAUAUGAGCGACACAUAUUUAAACAACUCAUGCAAAACACAAAUUCUUAAUUUUGUAGAGAGCACAGAGCUUUUUUUUUAGCUAGUAAAGGAAAAAUAAGUACUUUCCUGGGCCGAGUGCCCGGUCAUACAGCGGCCCGUCGGCGCACCCCCUGGCCCGAGUGCGUUUGGCGCGGGCUUCCGGAACAAGUGUCGCUGCGCCACCAAUUGCAAGCCCGACCGGUAGCGUGGCCCGAGGCCCGGUCCGCCCGGAGCACCGACGGGGGACGGGCUAAAAAUCCGCCUGCUCUGUAGGCCGCUUCGGACCUUUUCAUCCUGGGCCGAGUGACACAAAGUCCGAAAAUACUUUGUACGUAGGCACCGCCCGGCCCAGUCGGAAAACUCACGACUCUCGGCCUAAAUCCGAGCACCCAGUAAACAACUUUCGUUUUCAACCGAGGCCCCAAACUGAAACAGCCCCAAAACCUGCAAGCGAUCCGCAAUUCACUGAGACCGGCUCGAGCAGCAGCCGUACGAAGAAAAGGCUCCUCUCCAAAAUAAAAAAUAGAAAAACCAAAAUCCCCUAAAAAAACAAAACUGGAAAAAAAAAAAGUCCGGCUGGUUUCUCGAUCUCGCUGGGUGGAAUGCGACCGGACCGGAAGACGACUGCGCAGCGGUCGAAGCGAUGUUGAAUUGCCUUGGACAAAUGCGGACUCCCAAUCAGCAGCUUGUGCAGCAUUUUUCUGCGCCAAACGAUCGCCCGGUCGCUGCCUCCAGGCUGUCCCUCGUCCUCAUCUAGCGCCCAAGGAGAUGAACCAUGCAAGCACGGGCGUAUUUCUUCUUUAAACAAAGAUGAUUUGUUUUGUUGCUCCUUUCUAACAUAUCCAAAGGGCACUACUUGCUUUGGACGAGACAAAAUUUAUCUGUAGAAAAUUAGGAGGACAAGAUACGCACGCACGAAUACGAUCGUGUUGGCCCGACCCACUGCAUGGGCCGAGGAAAAUGCAGGGUUUGGCAUGCCGGGUUCCACUAGCGAGAGAUAAUGGAACAGAAAAAGAUCAGCCCCAAUUAAUACAAAUGUAGUUCCACUCACUUAAUUUGGGGCUCGAUCUUUGCGUGGAACUACGUACAUUGGUUCCACACGCACCCAGGGCAUGCUACUAGAAGAUACUAUCAGCGGCCUAAAAGGUAAAACGGCAGAACACAGUUACUUAAGCUUUACAAACGGCUUAGAGGGAUCGCCACCACGAUGCAGACUCAAAUGAACAUUGUAUUUUAACUGUCCUUCUCUUGCUAGUUCGAUCCUUCUUCGAUCAGCAUCAUCUGGGGCUUUCAGUCUGCAUCUAUCUCUUAAUUCAAUGAUGUACACCAUGCUGUCGAAGAGCAUAUCCUGAAGCACGCAAUGCAUCGGCUUCUUCCCCUGUCAGCUUCGAAUUGAAUUAAUGCAGGGGUUGGUGUUGUCUGGCUGGCUGUAGCAAAUUAAGUUCAGGCUACCACCCUUGGAUGUACGCGACAAGUUAAUUUGUCAACAUACGACGUGCCCCCGUACCCGUACCAUCGAUCGGACGGCAAGCUGGCCCCAAGGCGACAAUGAACGGAUAGGAUAGAUCAUGGGCGCCGGCGUGUCCAUCCACCGAGAGAUCAGAUCAGACUAAGCAUGGACUAAUCGGGCAACGAAUUUGGAUGCUUCAUCCCAAGUGGGACUGUGCAGCAGCUGCACGUGAGCUUAAUCCUCCAGCCUAUAAAUAUGCAUGAAGAGCCGCAUCAUCUUGCACAAGCCACAGCUGCAGAUAAGCAAGUGCAGGGCACGCUCUCUGAACUUUUAGCUGAGUAGAGCUAGUUAUCUAUCCAUGGCCGCCUCUGCCGCAUCUUGCAUUUCGCUGCUGGUGCUCGUGGUGGCACUGGCCGCGGUGGCGUCGGCGCAGCUGUCGCCGACGUUCUACGACACGUCGUGCCCGAGGGCGGCGGCCACCAUCAAGGCCGCCGUCGUGGCCGCCGUGAGGGCCGAGCCCCGCAUGGGCGCGUCCCUGGUCCGCCUCCACUUCCACGACUGCUUCGUCCAGGUAUACACCUCCUCCUAUUCUAAAUUUUUGUCGUGGUUUCAGUUCAAAUUUGAACUAAAAUUUAGGAUCGGAGGGAGAGAGUAAUUUCUAGACCAUGAGGUACUUAAAUUGUAUGUACAAAUAUGCAUGCGUAUUUCUGGCUUAAAAGCGACCUGCCAGCCGGGAUUAGCCAUGUAUUCAUGCAUUAUUGGCUUCUUAAUUAAUUGCUGCUGCUUGACUACUGUACAUGAAGGGGUGUGACGCGUCGAUUCUGCUGGCGGGCCAGGAGCAGGACGCGCCCCCAAACAAGGGUUCAGUUCGAGGCUACGGCGUCAUCGAAAACAUCAAGACCCAGGUCGAGGCCAUCUGCAAGCAGACCGUCUCCUGCGCCGACAUCGUUACCCUCGCCGCACGGGACUCCGUCGUCGCGGUAAUUAAGAUCUAUCUGAUCAUCUAUAUGAUCAAUUCAAUUUCUACGACUUGUACUAAAUCAACGACACUUAUUAUGGAUCGGAAUAAGUACUUACUUAGUUAGCUAAUUUCUGGCUUAAUUGGCUUGGUUAUACAUGCAGUUGGGAGGGCCGUCAUGGACAGUUCCACUAGGCAGAAGGGACUCCCUGGACGCAAACGUGGCGCAGGCGAACAGCGACCUCCCAGGCCCGACAUCGAGCCUCAACGACCUGGUGACCGGGUUCAUGAAGAAGAACAGCCUCAGCCUAGUCGACAUGGUGGCGCUCUCCGGCGCGCACACGCUGGGGCAGGCCCAGUGCCAGAACUUCAGGGCCCGGAUCUACGGCGGCGACGCCAACAUCAACGCGGCCUACGCCACGUCGCUCAAGGCCAACUGCCCGCAGACAGGCGGCGGGGACAACAACCUGGCGCCGCUGGACCCGACCACCCCCAACGGCUUCGACAACGCCUACUACGCCAACCUCAUGAGCCAGAGGGGCCUCCUGCACUCGGACCAGGUGCUGUUCAACAAUGGCACGGCGGACAACACGGUCCGGAACUUCGCGUCCAGCGCGGCGGCGUUCGGCAGCGCCUUCGCUUCGGCCAUGAUCAAGAUGGGGAACAUCGAGCCCA
rnacentral:lncRNA from 1 species